AUAACUUUGUCGUCACACAUUUUAAUUACUAUAUAUAACUAUUACCAUUUUUUAACAUUUGUUGAGCUUAAUUUAUAACAUGUAUGAUGUACGUACCUUGCGGAGUGAUCCAUACUGGGCACUGAGUUUGAGAAGCCAGAGGGCUGGGAAGUCAAGGCUGGUGGCGGUUGUGAUGCUACCAGCUUGAGGGUUGUAGAUGUCAGGUGAUGAAUUCUGACCAAUGUUUUGGCGAAGUCUCAUUGUGCAAAUGGUCUCAUCAAUGCCAUUUCUGCUCCUUUUGCUUUGGCGUUGGCAACCUUUGUCUGUCUCCACGCACUGUGGCUGCUCUUCCUCAUCAUCAUCAUCUUCUUCUUGCUGUGGCUUCCUCAUGGCUGGAGCUGUGACUCUUAGACCUCCUUUCACUGUCACAAUGGCUCCACUAUCCUCCUCUUCGUUCUCACCUUGUAGGUUUCUCACUAUCUGCAUGUUCACGCCGAACGCUUCUUUCAAGAAUUCAGGGGCGAAGCCACUCAAUAUGUUGCUUCCUUCGUUUUCUUCUUCUUGUUGCUUUCCUUUCUGGCUUUGGGAACCUCCUUGCUGCUGCUGCUGAUAUUUUAGAAACUCUUGCUCUUGGUUCCCAGCAAGAUAGAAUCUCUGCCAAGAAUUGUCAAAACAAAUAGUUGUCAAUCCGUAACCAGCUAGUAUUAGAACUUAAGAAUUCUAAUCUUAACGUUACAAUGUAGUCCAGUUUCCUUUUUUUAUCAGCUACAAUAUUGUCCAUGUAUUUCAAGACAAGAACCAAAUUGGAUAAAAAAACACAACUAUAAGGAUCCAAUUGGCAUAUUUUAAUCUAUAGGUACUAAAUUAGAAAGUGCAACUCCACGAACUAAAAUGAUAUUUAAACCUUUAAAGAAUUAUAAUAUCUAAUAUUGCUAUGUGGCUCACCCUAGGCAUCUGGUCGAGCUGGUUCUCCAAGCUGUUGGUGUCAAUAAUAGAAACGGCAACAACAGGAGUGUCUUCAUUGUUGUACAUCCACCAUGCAACACCAGUAGGCACUGCGAUCAAAUCACCCUCUCUGAAGCGAUGUACCUUUUGGUGACGGUCUUGGGGCCUCUGGCUUCGUCCUCGUUGCUGAGAUUCUUGCGGCUCUUGAUAAGUGCUAGGACAACCCGGGAAUAUCAUGCCAAAAAUACCAUUACCUAUUCAUAUAUAUUACACAACAACACAAAGAAAAAAAAAACAUUAGCAUAACCAUUUUCUUUUCAAAAUGCAUGGUUUCACAAAACUGAGAAAUUGAAACAAGUUAUUAUUAAUUUGAAUAUAUAAGAUAGGUUGGACGGUUAAGAAGAAAAACAAAAGCCACAGUUUCAAUCAAUUUUACUAACAAAAACUAACCAUUAACAUCUGAUAAAAAAAAAAUUAAACAAGAUUAUGGACCUUGUUGUAUGUAGAUUUCCUGGGGACCGUUGGUGUAGGAAGGUCUACGAAGGGCAUUGCGGUUAAGGGUGCAGCGAGAGAGGGCAACACCGGCACACUGGAAUGGCUUGUUGUUAGGGUUCCAGGUCUCAAUGAACCCACCUUCCGACUCUAUACGGUUAUCCGGUUUGAGGGCAUUCAGCUUUUGGAUCUGGCACUCAUUUUGCUGUGCCUGCUCUCUCAGAGCGAAGCAGCCACUGAAAAGAAGGAAACAAAGGGAAAGAACAAGCUUGGCCAUGGUGAUGAGUGUUCAAAGACAAUGGAGAGAAUGUUUGUGUUGUGAAGCGGAGAACCUGAGGCGUGGUUAUUUAUAGGGAAGAGAGGAAGGUGGGUGAGGGACACGUCACAGGAGUGGGGUGCUGAGCUUGAGACAUUCUUCAGUAUGCAUGGCUAUGGAAGCCUUGUGUGUUACACCUCAUUAAGUUCAUGGGUGUGAGGUGGCUUCGACAGUUCGACAUCAACAUUAUGUGACAAAUACCAAGUGUGUUUGUAUUGCAUGCAAUUGCCAGAAAACGGUGGUGGAGAGGGGGACCAUGGUUUCAUUUCAUGUUCGCGGGUUUAUGACAUAUGAAAUUAUAUGAAUACACCGUGUGACAAUGAUGGGAUCCUCAAAGUGAGAAGAAGGGCCGUCCAAAAAUGACCUCACUCUAGGGAUAGAGAAAUUAUUAGGUGUUAUGAAAUUAUCACUAUUCAUGGUUUUGACAGAUCUUUAUGUGAUACUAGUUACUCAAUUUUUUUUAAUUUAAUUAGGAAAUAAUUAAUCAUACUUUAAUUUACAUAUCAUAAAGAUUAGUGGAGAAUAAUUUGUACUGUAUAUAUAAUAAUUUCUUGGAUAGAGAAAUUAUAUAUUAGGGACAUUUUGUUUUUUGGAUUAUCCUCGUUUUGAUUGUCAAUAUAAAAAAAAAGUAAGCGAAAAUAAGAAGAAAAUGACUAAGUUUUAAACAAUUAUAUUAGUUAAACAAAAAUACUUAUAUGUUUUAGGUCUAUAAUAAAUAUGAUUAAUUUUAUUUUGAGUUCUAAUUUUAAUUUUUUUUUCUUUGUAUUGGAUUCUUAUAUCUUAAAAAAUUUAUUUUGACUCUUUAUCAUAGGUAGGUUAGUAAUGACAUAUCAAUCAAUUAACAAAUUACAAAGUCAGAGUUUAAAAACUGUGGGUAUUUCUGAUAGAAAAUAAUCUGGAUUGUCUCUAACUCAUUAGCCUCUCGAUUUUGUCAGGUUCGGGCUUAGUGAAUGCAACGGAUUCUUGGGUGUGUUCCAAUCUGCGUUGUGGCUUGGUUUCUUUUGCGGCCUCAAACACUUUCUUCUUCUCCGGAGGAAGUUUUUUAAACCCUCAUCCGAAUAAAGUAACCCCAUGUAAGCAAUUUUUAAACCCGUAUAGUCCGAAUAAACAAUUUGAAACCGCCCGAUUGUGUCUUUUUAUUUAUUCCUUUAGUGUGGGUUUGGUUCGAGCUUCUCUCGGGUUUAUGCUCAGCCCUAGCUACUACCAUUAUUCAUUUAAAAAAUAAGUUACAAUUUGUGACAGUUUGAAAGCUGUCAGAAUCAAUUAAAACAAAAAAAAUUAAAAAAUUAAAUGUAUUUUGAUCCUCCUAUUUUAUCAAAUCCAUAAAUUUGGUUUUUUAGUUUUAAGAUUUUAAAAUUGAGACCGUUAAUUCCUCUCUUUUCUAAAAUCAGGAAAUUAAAUUUUUCUGUCAAAUUAGUUGUGUUGACCAAAUGUUGACUGUUAAAAUUUUCUUUCUUCUUUUUCCUUUUGCUUUCACAUAAACCUCAGUCUUAUUUGUUCAAGGAAUUAUGCACAUUUUGUGCCCACUGUCCAUGGCUGCCAAAAGUUUCUUGGUUAUUCGAGUCAAUUAAUGCAACAAUCUGGAUAGAUUAAUUGUAGUUCUAUGCAAUGAUUAAGAACUAUCAAAGCAUUAAGAACUUGUAGCUCCUCACACACGAGAAAUAAGAAAUGGACAAGAAUGAGAAUGAGGACUCGAGCCUAAAAUUUAAGGCCAUGGACACCAAAUAUACGGGAAUGAUUGCACAUUUUGCAGGAAAUAAGUAGUGAGCCACAAACAUAAUUCCAUUUAUUCAAAGAAUAGUUAAGUUAUCAUCUUUAUAUAUUUUAAACACUUAAAUUAGCACCUUUACAUUAAAAGAACGCACACUAAUAUUAUUAAAAAAAGUAUUCAUCAUUUUGUAGGCCAACUUAAAAUAUAAUAUAUUAUAUAUAUAUAUAUAUAUAUAUAUAUAUAUAUAUAUAUAUAUAUAUAUAUAUAUAUAAUAUUAAAAUACUUAAUGUUUCUCACCUUUUUUAUGUUUGUUAUCAUAUAAAAAAACAUAGAUGAAUUUUAAAAAGUAAAUUAUUUACCAUCAAUUUAUAUAUUUGUUAAGCUACACAUAUUUUUUUAUUAGAGUUCUUUUUUUGUGUGUGUAAAAAUAUAUGUGAUGUCCUGUCAUUCUAUGUUUUACACAUUAGCUAUGCGAGAGUGUCUGUGCUCAUAUUGUGUCUGAUGUCCAUGUCGAAUUUCAAGCUUCAAAAUAUCAACUAACUAACUUGUGAGUCAAAUUACCGAUUGGGGGUAAUUUUUUUUAAAAUUUAUCAUUUGAGGAUAGAUUUUAAAUUAAUAUUCGUUUAAGGUUUAUGAAUUGAAAGUCAUGAAAAUGAAAUUAAUAUUUCUUGAAACCAAUAUCUAUUUAGUGUGGACAAUGGACAUCAAGACAUCAUAUGCAACACCAUCCUUGACUCUGUUGAAAAUUAAAAUCCCAGAAAAACACAUUUUUUAGCUCCCAUGUUAAAUUUGGAGCGAUGUUUUAUGUUUGAAGACACAAAGCACAAUGGUCCAAAUACUCUCGAACUUUCCAAGUUGGGUUGAGCUCCAAGUCAUGAAGAACCUGAUAAGACGUCUUCAUUCUUAAAGUUAAUCUUCAACUAUUGGGUCUGCAAUACUUUCAAUUUUAGUCUUCUACAUCAUGUCCUGUCCUGCCAACACUUCCUAAAGAUAUCAUCGAUCAAGCUAACUAUCAUUGGACCAAUCGUUAUUGUUUGCCUUUUGUUUUGCAAGAAGCUCAGAAGAAAGAAAAAAAAAAGAGAGAGAGAGAGAGACAAAAGAAGAUUUGACAGAAAACUCAUUGGAAUUUCUCCUUUUAUUCCCGCAAAAGUUUCGUGACUCAUUAUAGAGAGUACUUACAUUAUUAUUUUACAGUGAACAAAAGGCAAGCUAAAGCCUUUGUUUUCUUAUUCAUUAUUAUUAUUAUUAUUUAUUGGUUGCUAGCACUAUUGCCAAAAAGACAAAAGUGGGGUAGCACAUACAAAAAGGGCUCUAAGCCACAGCUCUCUUCUGAGACUCCUGAGGUGGAACCAGGAACUUGAAAGGGUUGUUGUUCUUUAUCUGCCUGGCCUGCUGGCUUUUUAGGUUGAAAGUGUGCUGAAUCACUUCCUCUGGUAAUGCGUUCAACAAUGAGUUUGCCCCUGCAAGAGUGCCGAUCAUGGGUGUAUCAUUGGUCUUGAAUGACACAUACUCGAAGUUGUCACUCUGUGAUCUUGCAGCCACCACAAAGUUUUGUGGCACGAUCAGCACCCGUCCCUCUUGCAGCUCUCCAUCAAACACUCUCUCACCGUUGCAAUUCACCACUUGUAUCAAUGCCCGUCCAUUCAAUGCGUAUAUUAUGCUGUUCGCGUUCAGGUUGUAGUGUGGCACGAACAUUGCAUUCUGCAUCGUACAUCAAUGCAUGCAAGAGUCACAACAAAUUCAUCCAAUAUUUUUAUAAUAAUACUAUUUUUUGUUUUGCUUUUUUCAUCAAUCUUUUCUUUUUUUUUCUCUCUAUUUCUAUAUAUAAAGACAGAAAAGAUAGAAUCCAUGCAAGUGUUAAGAUAACUCCGUCACACAUUUUAUAGUGUAUCUAAGAUUAUUAUUAAUCAAUAAAUCAUUAGUCUAAGUAUAAAUAAUGUAAUUAAGAUGAAAGACUCCAUUAAAAGUGAUCAAACAAAUUUUCUAAAAAAAUUAAUUAUCAAUAAAAUUAAUAAAUAUUUGGCAACAAAUAUUAGUUUAAUGUAUAAAUGUAUGUUGAUCUUUGAUGAAUGAUGUACGUACCUUGCGGAGAGAUCCAAACUCAGCACUGAGUCUGAGCCACGAGAGGGCUGGGAAGUCAAGGCUGGUGGCGGUUGUGACGCUACCGGCUUGAGGGUUGUAGAUGUCAGGUGAUGAAGUCUGGCCAAUGUUGUGGCGAAGUCUCAUGGUGCAUAUGGUCUCGUCAAUGCCAUUUCUUCUGCUUUUGCUUUGGCUUCCUCGGGGGCGUUGGCAGUGUUUGUCUUUACCCUUGCACUGUGGCUUCUCAUCCUCUUCUUCUUCUUCCUCUUCCUGGGGUCUUUGUUGCUGCUCGUCCGUGGGUGGUUUUAUCACGCUCAGACCUCCUUUCACUGUCACAAUGGCUCCCUUGUCUUCCCCUUCGUUCUCUCCUUGUAGGUUUUUCGCUAUCUGCUUGUCCACGCUGAAUGCAUGUUCCAAGAAUUCCAGGGUGAAGCCACUCAAUAUGCUGCCUCCUUCGUUUUCUUCUUCUUGCUGAUGCUUUCCUUUCUGGCUUUGAUGACCUCCUUGCUCUUGCUGAUAUUUUAGAAACUCUUGCUCUUGGUUCCCAGCAAGAUAGAAUCUCUGCCAAGAAUUGUCAAAACAAAUAGUUGUCAAUCUGUAACCAGCUAGUAUUAGAACUUAAGAAUUCUAAUCUUAACGUUACAAUGUAGUCCAGUUUCCUUUUUUUAUCAGCUACAAUAUUGUCCAUUUAUUUCAAGACAAGAACCAAAUUGGAUAAAAAAACACAACUAUAAGGAUUCAAUUGGCAUAUUUUAAUCUAUAGGUACUAAAUUAGAAAGUGCAACUCCACGAACUAAAAUGAUAUUUAAACCUUUAAAGAAUUAUAAUAUCUAAUAUUGCUAUGUGGCUCACCCUAGGCAUCUGGUCGAGCUGGUUCUCCAAGCUGUUGGUGUCAAUAAUAGAAACGGCAACAACAGGAGUGUCUUCAUUGUUGUACAUCCACCAUGCAACACCAGUAGGCACUGCGAUCAAAUCACCCUCUCUGAAGUUAUAGAUCUUCUGGUGACGGUCUUGUGGUCUGCUGCUUUGUCCUCUUUGUUGAGGUUGUUGAGGCUCUUCAAAUGUGCUAGGACAACCCGGGUAUAUCAUGCCAAAAAUACCCUUACCUAUUCAUAUUACAAAACAACAAACAAACAAAAAUUAGGAACCCAACAUUAUCAAUGAUAUGAUUAUGUUACGUCAUAUGGAAGAAAUCAAAACAAAAAUUUUAAUAUAUAAAAACUCAAAACAAAAAAAAUUAUUAAAAAUCUAAAAUAAAAUUCCCUCAUUUAUCAAACCCUUAAACAUAUUUAAGUCUAUUAUAUAUUUAUAUGUGAAGUUUGGACAAGAUGGACCUUGUUGGAUGUAGAUUUCCUGGGGACCGUUGGUGUAGGAAGGUCUACGAAGGGCGUUGCGGUUGAGGGUGCAGCGAGAGAGGGCAACACCGGCACACUGGAAUGGCUUGUUGUUAGGGUUCCAUGUCUCAAUGAGCCCUCCUUCUGACUCUAUACGGUUAUCCGGUUUGAGGGCAUUGAGUUUUUGGAUCUGGCACUCGUUUUGCUGAGGCUGCUCUCUGGAACUGAAAGCGAAGCAGCAGCCACUGAAAAGCAGAAAACAAAGGGAAAAAACUAGCUUGGCCAUGGUGAUGACUGAUGAGUGUUUAAGGACCAAUGGAGAGAAUGUUUGAGUUGUGAAGCGGAGAACCUGAGGCGUGGUUAUUUAUAGGGAAGAGAGGAAGGUGAAUGAGGGACACGUCACAGAAGUAGGGUGCUGAGCUUGAGACAUUCUUCAGUAUGCAUGGCUAUGGAAGCCUUGGGUGCUACACCUCAUGAAGUUCAUGGUGUGAGGUGGCUUCGGCAUCUCAAUUAAGUGACAAAGAGAAAGGUGUUUCAGUGUUUCUAUUGCAAAUGGCAGAAACUCGUGAUGACGAGGGGACCAUGCAUGGUUUCAUUUCUUUUCUUCCUGGAUUCUUUCUUUCCUUUUAUAUAUGCAGGUUCAUAAUUUAAAAAUUAGACUCGCUUUCAAUUUCUUAAUUUCUCAUUUUCCUCUUAUAUUACUGUACUAAUGUUAACCACGUACACUUAUUUUUUUUUUAGUUUAAUUUUGAUAGAUUGUGUUGAUUUAAACAUAUUAAUAUUUUCAACCAAAUAAAAAUCAUUUUAGUAGAUACGGCUUUUUAAAUAAUUAUUAAAAAUAUUAACUAUUUAUCCUAAAUGGCACAUUUUAAUUAAAAAAAAUCCGGUGUUGUAAGUGUUUUAUUAAUUUGUUUUGGCAUUAUUAAAGCAACUUUUUUUUUAUUUGUUGGCAUUUUGAGUACGUACUUAGGCUACCUCCUAUAUGAAAGUGAUUGAGUUGUUUUUGCUUAUUAAAUGCCAUGCUUAAUAAGAACCUUUUAUGAAAGUUUGUGGUUAUUUUGAUUAAAUUAUAUCACAAUAAUAUUUAUAAAACAGAUAAAAGUUAAUGUCGAUGAAUGUAAGAGUGUCAAGUUACUUGUGGAGUCUAUUUAAUAAAAUUUUAAAGUUGUUGGUUUUGGUGAUAAAAGUUACAUAAUGUAAAAGGUAAGAAAUAAGUUAUAUAUAUAAAGGGUGAGACUACUUAAGAUGUGAAAAAGGUUGAGAGAAAAAAAAUAGAUGUUGAGUUGGAAAAGCUCAUGAUUUACUUCUUUGAAAAUAGAAAAAUAUAUAAAUAAUUAUAAUCGGAUUGAUGAUUAUUUAAAUAAAAUCUAAAAAUUGUGUUUGUGUUUUAUAAGAGAGAAUUCAAAUCCUCAAAGUACUUAUAAGCAUACAGCUACUUUUUCUUUCCUGUCAAUACUUUUUUUUUCUAUUCUUCUGUUUUUUAGUUCUUAUAUAUUAGUUUCUUCUCUCUAUAAAAUAAGGUGGAACUAGAUUGAUGUUUUUUCUAAAUCCCUAAACUUUUUUUCUUUCCUAUUUUGACGAGGUUUGUAAUUUUUGAAUAAUUUCCUUGUUACCAUUUUAUUUAAAGUUUUUGGCUGACAUUUUUCCUUUUAAAACUUGAAGCUUGUGUUGUUGAACCACUUUUAAAAAGAAGAAAAAUUAAUUACAGGUUUUAAGUGUUGUUUGUAUUGUUCUCCAAUUAAAAUUGGAGUUUAAUUUAAUCUACAUAUUUUUUUUUAGUACAAAUCUUGAGAUAAAUUUCAAUUCUAAUAACAGAACAUGACAAACAGCAUGUUAAGAACUAUAUUUAAAUUUUGUCCAAUCAAAAAACCCUUUUCUUGCUUAAUGAUGGAGCUAUAUAUUGUUCUACAUAUUUCAAGUUUCUUAUUCCAUUAUAGUACUACAUUGUUUAUUGAGAGAAGAAAUAUAUAGCACUAUAUAUAUUGUUAACUAAUUAUGAGCUAAAUUUUAAAAAGUGUAGAAUAUAUAACUUGUAGUCACCCUUGCGUGGUUCAAUCUUCAUCACUCCAUGCUCUGCAACUUGAAUCAAGAAACUGGUGAUUGGUGAAUGUUCAUCACUCUAAGCCCAAUCUGACAAACCUAGCUACGUGAUAAACUCACUCCAGCACGUGCUAAGGGAAGGAAGGUACUAUCCACAUUUGCAAGGUAACCUCUAAUGUGGACCCUGCAACUGAGUUUUGUACAUUUAGGACUCGCAGAGCCGGGGUACUUGGUCAGAUAAAAUGUGAGAGUAGUUCUCCAACAGCUGCACAAAGUAAAUUAUUGCUUGCUAUGCAACUUGUAGAUUUACUUGCUAUGCAACUUGUAGAUACAAUGCAGUAAUAUUACGAUAAGAACAAGGCCAAAAUGACAAAUAAUACUCCAAUCAGUUAAUAAUGUGAAGAACGUUACCUUUUUCAGAGUCCAAUGCAUCAUCAAUAUCACCAACCAACACAGAUGCAGAUCCCACAUGAGCAUGGCUGCAUGGCUCCUGCAUGCAUCAUACCACCUGUCACUUAGAAUGCAGCAUCGUGACAGUUGAACCCACCGUUACCCAUGCAACUACUUGGAUAGCAAACAAAAUUAAUUCUACCUUAUAAAAUCAUGGUCAAACAAUGAAAAAGUAGAAGCAAUCAUUUGUUGCUUCACCUUCACCAUGAAUAUAUUCAAAACACCCUAUUAAUUCCCCCUUGACCAUUAUUCCCAACGGAUUCAGUUAUGUGUAGGAGUUAGCUUGUAAGUUGUAACUAGAAAUGUACGUGUAAACCAUCUUGUAUAUAUGCCAUACCAGUACUGAUUUCAACUGACUGAAUGAAUAUACAACUUUUCUCUCCAAAUUUGUUAAUCAUAUUCACCUAAUAUGAGAAGAGGAGAGGGCUUGUGAGGAGCCCCAUUCAGAACUUGCACACGUAACUCCUAGUUGAAAUUUUAAAGUGAAAAUGCUAUCCAAUGAGAGAGUUUUAUAUGUUCUUUUAUUGAAUGCAAAUAAUAUCUGAAGAUGAAUGGGAUCCUUCACUAUAAUUGUACAUCAAUCUGUAUUGAAAACAUGGAAACAACACACAAUAAACUAAUAAAGUGUCCAAAAUGCACAACUACUGUGUCAAAGUAUGCUAAACUCUGUAUCUAUCCCAUCAAUAUUUUAAACCUAUAUUUCAGCUUUGCAACAUCAUAAUAGCAAUUCAAAUUUCCUCCCCUAAACACAAUUUUCAUUUUCAUCACACUCAGAAGGUCUUCACCAAAAAAGGACUCUGCUUCUACAUUCAUUUGUCAAUAUAUACAAGAAAUUCUUACGUGCUUCCAAAGCUAGAAUUUUCUCUUGAUUUAUACUAUUGAAUGUGUAUCACAUCAACAAGGUGGCCAUCACUAUCUGAGUCAAAUGCAUUAGUAGUGCUAUAUCUGAUGUGGUACACGUUUAUAUUAGAAAUACAGAGUAAGCGAUUUUCCUGGCACUUGUAGCACCUGAGAAUUUCUCUAGUCAAAAUAAGAGCAAACUGGAUAUAACUGAUUUUUCUUCAGAUCCAGCCUUUCCCUAUUUAAAUUGUUCAUGGUUUCUCUUGAGCUCAUCAGAGCUAGAAAUCAGAUUUUUGGAUGCAAUGGAUUUCAUCACCCAAUAACAACAUAAAAUUGAUCAAUUAAACCAUUAUAAGAGCCAUGAUUCUUGAAUUUCUGAUACGAAACGCUACACUACAUACUACUGCUAAGGAACUAAGAAGGAAACUAAUGGAGAUAAUUGUUCUGAUUGAUUCUUCAUUCCACUUUAUUUACAUAUUUAUACUAAUAUGCUAAUAGAAUGCAAUUUGUUGUAACAGAAUUAUCACCAUCAACGAUUCUUCAUUCCACUUUAUUUACAUAUUUAUACUAAUAUGCUAAUAGAAUGCAAUUUGUUGUAACAGAAUUAUCACCAUCAACAAACUAGUGGAAUGUUGUAACUAAUUAAUGAAGAUUUCUGCAACCAUUUAGUGCCUUUGUGCAUUUUGGCGCUCAAACGAAGUCCUGUAGGUAAGUGGCUUCUGUAUUGUGACCUGUGUGGUAUUCUACUGAAUUGCUAUCAAUUUCAAUCAUACCAACCAACGUAGCAUGUGAGACGUAAAGUGUAUAUGUUUGGUUUUUUCUCUUGCCCCCAUAAGAAUUUAGAUAUAGGAUUAAUUGUUAACAAUAAAUUUGCAGUUCACUUGUGCACAUGCUGCUUCAUUAUAGGUAGCGCUAAACCUCAAGUUUCAGGUAAAAAACGUGACAUGCAAUCCUCCUUUACAACAAGCAAGUGACAAAACACAAACUAAACAAACAAAGUAGUCAUUUCUAUAUAACUUACAAAACAAAACAUUAUUAUCAUAAAUAAAACUCAAACAAGAGUCCGAUUUUCUAAUCUGUACUCCAAUGUGCGCGAUUAGUUGUCUCCACACUCUAUGCACUAACAACAGUACUAACUUCAUCCCCUUCUCGCAUUAAUAAUAUAAGGAAGCGGAUCAAAAUGUGGGAACCACUUAAUAUUAUGAGAAACUAGCAUGAUCUCACAAGGAUGUUAUCACAAUCCUCGGGAUGGAAACUCCUGCCAAUUACACAUUUGGGCAAUGUAAAUCACCCGCAUAGAAGGACUAUAGCUUAUUACAAGAUAUGAACAAAGACAAGAUAAAAUGCGAAUUAGAAGAUACAUAUGCCAACUAUGCUUUGCUCAUUCGGUAUCUCGCUUGAAACUAGAUUCAGCAUUCUUCUCCUUCGUGCCAUCAUCUACUAUUUUAGUUUCAGCAAGACCAUCCACUAUUUUAGUUUCAGCAAGAUCAUCUCUCUCGCCCUCAGUUGCAUUGACUUCAAGAGUGUUAGACUUUUGGGGAAGCUUUCGAUCCAGAUUCUGAGCAGCUUCAGAUUCUUCAUUUUCGGGUACUUCAUUGGGGUUUUGAACAGCUUUGGCAUCAUGCUUGUCAGUGUCAGCAUUUUGAGGUUGUUGUGCCCCAGAACUUUGAGCAGCAUCUAACUCCUCAUAUUUAGAAACAAUCUGCUGCAGCUCGUCAUUGAGAUAUAAAGCCUCAAAAAGUGUUGCUUCAUCGUUUGUAGUGCUUUCCACUAUCCCCUUGAUGAUAGAGAGAGAUUGCUUGCACUUAUCCAACAAGCUCACGGUUAAAUCUUCCUACAGCCACACAAAAUUAUUGCAAAUUCCAUCAUCAAACAACUAUUCUGUCAGCAAUAUAGAGAAGAAAAUAAAGGGCAAAUACUUCUUCUAUAAACACUUACAAGAAAAGAAACUACAAAACAGAGUAGAUGAACCUUCUGCCAUAAGUUAAAAUCAACUUAUGCAUCUCAACUUUUGGAUAAGUUAAAUGAGAAUUUAUUCUACAGAAGUUGGAACGCAAAAGUUGAUUUUAACUUGUCAGAGAAGUUUAAUAUAUCUUAACUUUUUAUUUUCUUCUUCUCCUACAAGUACUUAUUGAAAAGUCUGUCCGAACAAGGCCAUAUAUAGCAAUUAUCUAACAGUAGUAGAUGGAAAGCAUGGGGAAAAAAAAAAAGAGGAAAAAGAAAGACUGGAUGCAUACAAAAAAACAUCAUGAUGAAGUAGUAUACAAAACACCAAUUUAUUAUUCGGGUAAUGUUGAUUUUCUCUAACAUCAAGAUGUUUACCUUCAAAGUUUUAGGCUCUGCAUCAGAAUUCAAUAUGCUAGAGAGCAAUUCGAGACUGUUUCGAGCAACCACAAGAUGCUCUUUCCUCUCUUCAACUGAUAUGUGUUGGUAAUUAGAAGAGAAAGCUGCUGGAUCAUCAAUAUCAUGUAGUUCAGCUUGAGGAAUUGGGUAUCUUUCAGGGGCAUCUACAUAUGACUCUGAGGCAUACGGAACAUGUGGUGAAUUUCCUCCCGCCAUGUCAACCGGUUCAUCCCUUCCUUUCAAACUCUGCCAUCAAAAAGAUAGGAUGAAGGAUUCAAAUAAAUGUGAAAGAGAAGGAUGCAAGAGAAUCUAUCACAGUAAAAUGUAGAAAUAGAAGGCAUUGCAUAAAGUGCAGAAAAUAAGUGAGAACAUGAAGCCCAAUACAAUUACAUUUCAAAAUCAAUAUUCUGUACAAGAUAAAAAUCCCCAGCGUCACCUGAGAAAUGAGUAUACCCCAUUUUAAUCAAUACUCCCUGAAUAUGCUGGGCGUAUUUAUAGCAGUCCCUGAAUUAGAAAAAUAUCAAAUAAAUUCCUAAAAUUUAAAAAAUUUAUUCGACAUUUAUCUAAUUUCAAGGACUAGUACGAUAGUGUCUCACAAAUUCAGGUACUAAAAUAGGAUUUACUAUGGGAGAAAGCUUCUUCUUUUUUUUUUUUUUUUGUCCAGACCACAGGUAUCAAGACAAGAGUAACAAACAAGUAAUCCAGUUAUGGCAAUAUCCUCAAUCAGUAAAAAUAAAUAAAUAAACAGACCAUAUAAGUUUGACGAAAGACGGGAAGAUAAGCGAGAUCCUCGGACUCGCCCCAGGCCCGAAUCAACUGAAAAGCCCGGCUGCGGGUCUGGUGAUGGGCCUGCGGGUUAUCGAUGAGGCGAAUGAUCUCAUCGAGAACCUUCUCGGAAGCGAUUUCGGAGAAGACCUUGUCGCAAUUCAUGGCGCAGGCUUCGAGGAGGUCAAGGCUGAGGGUCUGAACGACGGGGCUCUUGUGAUUGAUCUUUCUCUUGAUGGCCUUAACGACCUCAGAGCCGUUGAACUGGUCGCUGUUGAUCAUGCCACAGAUUCUGAGAUUCAUGCCCCAAUUGGGUUCUUCCAUGGUCUCCAGCGUGGCCUCGUCCACCAUCUUGGACUCCGGCGUCGGCGCCUGAAGCAUCUCCUUCACUUUUCCGCUCACCAUUCGCCCCAUCUGGGCCCCACCGGUCUUCAGCCUCUCACCCAGUUGCGCCCACUUCAACCGCUCCAUCGUGUAAGGAACCCUAACUAGAUCGGGUGAAAUGUGAGGAAAGUAAAAAGCUGAGCUUUGAAGAUUAUAAAGUGAACAAGUGACGAGAGACAAGAGGGGUGUGUGUGGUGGUGUCAAUAUACUGAUCAAUUGCUUGUGACACGUUUUUUUUAUUUUAAAAAAAAAAAAAUCAAUGCCGUAGACUGGGAUUUGUUUGUGGGUGGGAUUUAAUUAAUGAUAAUAAAUUAUGCAUUUAACUCAUUUUCACGUCUUUUUCUGUCUCGCCCUAAAUAUUUUAAUCAUGAGUUGAAUUUGUCACGGUUUCAACUUAAAAAUUUUCACGUCGAAUCUAACCAAUACAAAGAUUGUGUUAGGUGUCUUCUUAAGAAGAUAUUUUUGACAAAUUGAUGUAGGGAUUAAUAUUUUAUUUAUAUAUAUAUGUCUGAUUUUUAUGUAAUCUUCUUAUAUAAGCAAGACUUAUUUUAAAAAAUAUAGGUAUUUUUGUAUUAAAUGAUUUGUCUUUUGACAUAUAAUAAAUAAAAAUUCUAAAAUAAGUUAAUAUAAUAAAGAAAUUGAGUUAUUAUGUAAUAAAAUAUGUAUUGAUGUUAGAAAUGGGACUCUUAUUAUUAUUUAAGUUUAUUUAAUUUUUUUUUAUAAAUGACUAUAAAUUAUCAAAACAGAUUUAUAAGUUUUCAAUUAUUCAUCACAUGUCCAAAAUAUUUUAUCAAAGAAAAUAUAAAUAAAAUCAAUUUAAUAUAAUGAAAUUGAUAAAUCAUUGAUCAAUUAAGUUAAAUGAACUUAAUUUUUUUAUAGCAACUUUACAUCAUUAAUAUAUGCAAUAACAUAAUGUAUAAUUAAUACAGGAUAUUAUAUAUAUGUAAAAAAAUACGUGAUGAAUUAUAUUUUGAAGUUUAAAAAAAUGAAAUUUUUUGUUGUAAUAUGUUUUUGAUAUGAAAAAUAUCUGAUUAAUUUAAAAUAAUAAAUCAUUAUUAAAGAGUACACAUAUAAAAAAUAAUAUACUAAUAAAUAUCAAAAAAGUAGAUAAGCAAUUCAUAAUAGAAAAUAGAAAAAAUAACUUCCCUUAAAUUUGAAAGACUUUUCGAUAAAUAACAUAUCAAGUCAUAUUUAAAUUAUCUCAGUUAUUAAUAAAAAUAUUUCGGUUAAUAGGUUUUCAUUAAAAAAGAUAUGAAAUAUUUUAUUAUUAACAAAAGUAUUUUCAUUAAUAGGUUUUCAUUGAUAUAUCUUCAUUACCAAAAUAAUUUUUUGUCAAUCAUAUUUUUAGGUUAAAAUAUAUUUUCCGUCUCUAUAAAUAUCAAAAAAUCCAAAAUUCAUCCCUAUAAAAUUGAAAUGUGUGUCUUUUUUUGGUUUGGAAUUAAGCUUUGGUGAAUAUGAGCCUACAUGGUUUAAAACUUAAAUUAUAAGCUAAAAUAUAUUUUUCAUCCCUAUAAAUAUCAAAAGGUUCAAAUCCAUCUUUAUAAAAUUUUGAGUCUUUUUUUCAUCCUUGAAAAAUUGAAAUUUAUUAUUUUUGGUCGGAAGUAGGUUCAGAUUUACUCAGUUUGAUCGACGACAGUGAUUUAUGGGGGUUAAAAUCACCACAAAAUGUAAAAAGAAAAACCCACACAUUUGUAAAUCUCUCCUCCCUAACUUUCUUCAUCUUCUUUGUCCACCAAGCUAAUAUGAGAGAGAUGAAUUUGAGAGUUUGUUGACAAUGUUUGAUUAUGAUAGAACACUUGAAUUGAUAUUUAUAGUGUUAAGUUCGAGAAUGAAGGUGUUAGGCUUUUGGAAGGAAGAAAAAUUUAAAAAAAUUAUUUAUUUAAAUUCGAAGAAGAUAAAGAAAGUUAGAGAAUAAUGAGUUUAAGAAAUAAAAACUUAUAAAUUUGUGUAAUUUUUUUUUUCUGGAUUUUGUGAUUAUUUUUAUUCCCAAAUUUCACUUUUUUGAGAACCAAAAAAAACUCAAUUUUACAAGAAUGAAUUCUAAACAUUUCAAUAUUUAUAAAGAUAAAAAAAUAUAUUUUAGCAUAUAAUUUAAGUUUUAAAAAAUUCUCAAAUUCGUCUUAGAUCCAGACCAAAAAAUAACAUAUUUAAAUUUUAUAAGGAUGAAAAAUAUAUCAUAAAAAUUACACGGAUUUCAAAUUUUCUAAUAUGUAUAAGAACGAAAAAUAUAUUUUAAUAUAUUUUUAUUAAUAUAAUAAUUUUAUUUUAUCAUUAUACUAUAAAGAUACAAUCAAAUUUGUUUAUUUAAACGUAUAUUAUCCAUUAAUACCAUGCCAUUUAUAAUUAUAUUUGUAUACUUAAAUUUUAAAUUUAUUAAUGAUUUUAAUUAUGGUGGAUUAAGACAAAACAUCAAAAAAUAAUUAAAAAAAUGUAAAACAAAAUAAAUACAACAUCCAAAACAAAUUUUCCAAAAAAAAAACAUAUAAAACGGAUUAAAAUCUAAAUAAUAUUAAUGAAUAAAAUAUAAUAUUUUACAGAUUCAUAUUACACACCACGUAAAACAUAAUAAAUUUUUUAAAAGAAUAAUCUUAUCUAAUAGACCCAAUAAUUUUUUAAAACAUGAAUAAAUAAAAGAAAAAGAACUAAUGUGUUAUUAACUACUGAUUGAUUGUAAUAUGAACUCAUUGAUCUUUUGCCAUUUGUGUGUUUAAUCAUGUGAUAAAAUAACAAAAAAAGAAUUAAUGAAAAAACUCAAAUGAAUGUAAAAAAAAAAAAACUUUGAACUUUUCUCCCUGCAAGUACGACACCGAAAACUUUGAAUUUUUCUCCCUAUUUGAACGCCUUUAUCACCUCCUCUUCCAUUUCUGUCUCUUGUAAUGAAUAAUUCACACCAAAACUCAAUGAACAUACCAUUGUUAAGUAUGAUCCUAUAAAAAACCAACAACAAACUCAAUUACCGAUAAAAGCACAUGUUUAAAUAGAAUAAGAAUAAUAUAAUAUUAGAAAUUAUUAUUCUCUAUUCAACUUCUAAAACGUGCAUAUUAGAAUAUAGAAAAUUACCUAAUUAUAUGAAUUAAGAGUGUAUUAAAUGUAUUUUAUGAAUUAAAACUGUUAAUUUUUAUUAUUGAUUAAAACUGCUAAUUAAUAUAUCAUUAAUGUAAAUAACUAAUUUCUCUAUUAAUGUGAAAUUACUCUUCUUUAAAAUAAAAAUAUUUUAUUUACUUUUUUUCCCAUACAAUUAUUAAUUUAACUCCCAUUUAUGAGACAAAAUAAUAUUUACAAAAAUGUCCCCAACUCACUUUCUUUUAUAUAUUAUAUAUAUAAAGAUAUGUAAAAAAAAUCUCAUCCUUCUCCUUUUAUAUAUAUAGAUGCUAACUUCUCAUUUUCAGACACAAUUUUUGAAUAUACUUUUUUAUCUAUUAAAGUCUAUUAAAAUAGUAUAUUUUUAUGAAUCUUAUUUUUUAUUUAACUUUUUUUUUUAAUUUUAUAAAUUUAAAUAAAUUUUUACACGUUAGAAAAAAUGUGUAAUGUUUUCAUAUACUAGUAAUCACAACGGAAAAUAACGCUUCAUUUCAUCAACGGAUAAAAGUUUUGUAGAAAUUGAUUUCCUUUGUAUACACUUAUGGUUUAAUUAUAUUUUUGGUUUUGAAAAUUAAGGGUGCAUUUAAUUUUAGUCUCUUAAAUUUAAAAACAAAUAUUUUGGUCUUUUAAAUUUAAAAAGUUACAAUUUUCAUCCCUCAAAGUUUAUUUUGGGUUUUGUUAUGUCCUAGUGUUAGGUAACUUGUUGUGAGCGAGAGGAUGAAGAUGAACGCAUUGGAUUCGAGGUCAAGGCACCUCCUGAAAUAAACUAAGUUCUACGCAAAUGCUUCUCUGAUUUUAUUCAUGUAUUCGAUAUCCUAUUUAUACACUGCCUUUUGUAACAGAUUAUAACAUAUCAGUAACAAACUUUGUAGGCCAAAAUCACACCAAGUCCUUCAAAUAGGUAGGGCGCGCAGUGUUUCUCUUGGGCCUUCCAGCAUGGGCUUCAGGUAAUGUGUUGAUCUCUUCUACGUUCCUGUUGCUGUUGCUGUUGCUGUUGCUGUUGCUAUCAUAACUCAGGUUUAAGAGGGAAGGUGUGUACCUGCAAAAGGCAUUCUAGUUUUCAACCCUGAAGUUGUAAGGUUUGCACUGGUAUAGUGCAGGCAUCAAAGAUGCAUAGAUGAGUGGUUAAAAGUUAAAACCCUUUAUUUGGCAAUGAGUGGUUGAUCCACUGUUUUACAGUUGUACACGUACUUGCUUUUUCUGUAUUUUUUAGCAAUUUAUUCCAACAUUAGCACUUAAAAUACCCUAGUUGUAACUUGUAAGCCUUUUCAUCUAUAGAUUGGUUUAAUGAUGUGAAACAGAGCUAUAAAGUUGAAGGAUGUCAACUUACAUAUAAAGAGCUAAGCGACUUCAUUUAUAAGACUGUCCUGCUGAGAAAGUUGACUUACUUGCACCGGAGUGAAGGAGACCAGGUGGCUUCUACUAGUAUUGGAAAAACAGAAACUCUUCUUGUUCGGAAAUUACCAAUUGCAGAUCCAAAGUAAUCAUACUCAUUGUGCAACAGUUCUUUGGAUUGUAGAAUUGUUAACUGCUAUUGUGAGUUGGCUGAUAUGGUCCAUUUUAUGCUUAGGAUGUGUCAUUCUCCUGAAAUGCAAUAUUUAUUCCUUGCUUUUCAUAUGAAAAAUCUUUAAACAGAUGCUUUUCUCAUCUUGAUUUCAUAUAUUACAUAAUAAUUGAAUCUAGAGUUUAUAACUGUUGAACUCAGAAAAUAAACACAUUGAAUUCUGAAUAAAUCAUAGAAUCUAUCUGUUUUUUUGGCCAAAUUUAAGUGCAAACAUCAACAAACACAAGGUUUCCCCCUAACAAGUAACAAGGAGUUUUCUCCUUCAAAACACCGUAAAUAACAAUUUGACACCUUAACCGCCACAUCCUAAAACAAAACUGCCAAUACAUAAUUGAAACCAACAUAACUGCCUAAUAACUGUCCUAAUGCAGAAUUAACACAAACACAGCUACCUAAUAACUGGCUGUCAAUUUUUUAUUGUAACAAAAGGAUUGAUUUGUGUUAGCAAGUUAGUAUAUUGAUAUCACAUAUAGAUUUGACUGUUUGUAAGUUACUAAAAGUCUCUCAUUUUGAGAAACUCCUACCAUGUCUUAGUUUGAGCACUAGUUUACUAUGAUUUAUCAGUUCUGAAGUUAAAAUUUAAAACAUAAGGUGGUUCUUGCCUAUGAUGAUUUAUAUUUUAAUCGUUGUAAAGCUCCAUUUGAGGCUUUUGGUCUUGCAGAUGUUACUUUUUUAAAAAAUAUAUAUGGUAGGUGGCACCAACAAUGUGAUAAACUUCAUGCUUAUGCCUGUGUUAUUUGUAGAUUUUUUUAAAAUAGGUUUUCUUUUUACAUUUUGUAAUCUGGUCGGUGAUAUGGUCUAUGGAUGGUAUAAUGAGUUCUGAUAAUCCUCCCCUUCCUCUCCCAAAAAAUGUUGUUGACUGACUAUCAGUUUGCAAAUUUAGAAAUCAUUGCUCACUUCUGUUUUUUAUUUUUAUUUUUAGACUUCCACUAAAAUUAGAGAGAUUUUGACUGACGAUUGAAUUUUUCAAAUGGUGUUCAUCAAUCAAUGCAAUCUCAAAUGCUGUGCAUGUUUCUUUGACAGGCAUGUUUUUGUAGGAGAUUUAGUGGUCUUGAAAAACCCUCUGAAGGCAGAUAACUAUCUUGUCAGGCAAUUAACUGUAUUGAAGGUUAUGAAAUGGUAUCAACUGAUGAAAAGGAUGAACCCUUUUUUUCUUGAGAAGGAUCAGUGUUGGGUAGAUGCUGAAAAUAAAAGUUUAAAACCCAAGGUAAGACUGCUCUAUUUUCCUGGUCUCUCUAUAUAUGGAGCAUAUCAAUUGGCAUUAGCAUUUUAUUGCAAGAGAGAAGCUAAUGCUGAUUAUUUAAGAAGUUUUAUAUAGUAAAAUAUCAUGACACCAAGCAAUAAGUUACCAUUGACGUACAAGUAUACAAGGUUACUUGUUGGAAAAUAAAACAACAGCUUUCUGUUUUUAAAAUAAUUAAAAUUAGGCAUGAUUUGGUAAUUUAAUGAUAUUGAAAACCUCUGGAAUUCCAAAUACUAAUGUUUUUCUUUCUCUCUUUUUAGUUUUCUUCCUUUGUCUCUUUAAUUAUAUUUUUUUUCUCUACUAAUAAGGAUAUUAAAUCUGUGUUACUUCUUUACCAAAAACUCUGUUAAACUCAUGGGGUUUUGUGCAUGUGUCGCUCUUACAUGAUUUAUAAAAGGACAACAUGGUGUCAUUUGAUCUAUGUAGCCAAUCCCCACCUAAUGAAAGAAACUUUUGCUGCUGUUGUUAUUUUGUUUCCUCAACAUCUAGCUGCUUUGAAAUUGUGUAGUAUCUGUAAGCUCUAAAGUCUAAGGUGAAUGUCUCCAUAAAGACUAGUCGAUUAUUUGGUCCAGUUAAUAUGACAGACAUUGUAGGCAGAGUCAUAUAUCGCCUGCGAACCUGUGUAGAGACCAUCACUGUGUACGGAACAGGUGAACUAAAUUAGUAAAUUUCUAUCUUAUUUCUUAUGUAAAAUGGUAUGUGGAAGGUUUUUUUUUUUCUUUAAAAAAAAUAUUGAUAUAAUUUACUCCUUUGCCAGUCAUUCCAGCAUGCUAAAGGAUUGGCCCGUGUUGGCAGUGGAACUUGAUGUUGAGGAGAUGUCAAAGAAUCACAAGGCCUAGGCCUGUUUGGUUUACAUUCCUGUCAACCCAAAUGGGAAAACGUGCUUCCCAUGAAUGCACUUUUCUAUCAAGUGAAUCACAACAUAUACUUAUGUCAAAACAAGCGAAUCUCCUGAUCAUCAUUAACUAGAUAGUUUUGUACGUAUCCCCUGUUUGAGGCAGAGCAAUAAUAGGAUGUUACUUUUUUGCAAGAGAAUGUGAUGGUGGUGUUAUCAGUUGUGUGAUUUCUUUAAUUUAUACAUAUUAGAUGUUUGACUUUUUCUUUAAAGCCCAAGGAUAAAUUGCUUGUUUGAUGUAUAAAUAGUAAUAGUAUAUUUUUCUAUAAUAUAUAUCGUUUUGUUAAGCUUAAUAUUUUAUCAAUAUCAAAUAAAAAAAAUUGUACUUCAUAUCUUAAAAGUAAAAAAGCAUGCGAUUCUUUACUUUUUUAAAUUUUGUAGUGUAUGCUUGGGAGAAUUUAUUUUCAACAAAUAAUGGCUUAUAUUUUGGUUUUUUUUAUUAUAAUAAGUUAUAUUAAACUUGGGAGUAUGAGAUAAAGUUGUGUAUGUAUAAAAAGUUGUCUUUGAAUAAGCGUUACUUUUAGUUGAACGUCAAUCUAGUAUAGGAUUCAGUUGAACGUGCAUUAGAAAGUGUCUUAAGUAAAACAAACACACUAGUGUGUGCUUAGAUUGUUGUGUGAGAGGUACCAAAUGUUCAUUUGUGCAUUUCAAUGCACAAAAGACAAGUAACAACUAACAAUACUAUUAGAUUAAAUGUGAGUUAUAUUCAACUGAAUGGUUAUUCAAACACACCUCAAGCGUCUGUUUGGAAUUAGAGACGAAUGGAUGUUUGCCAAAGGAGUCAUUUGUAUCUUUCUUCCAGCAGGUUUGGAGGUGUGUGAAUGGUUUUUAAAACAUGUUUUUAAAUCAUUUAUUGUUGACUAACUAAAAGAUAUUUCUGACUCAACCACUUAGGGAUUAUAGAUAUUUCAUUUGGUUUAAUUUUUUUUAGACUUAAUUGUCCUUAAAAUGGAAAAUUGAGUUAAUUAGAAUGUUUAAAAACUAUAAACUUUUAAAAAUGUAAUUUUUAAAAGAAUAUAUUUUAAAAAAAUGUUUUUGGAAAAGCCAGUUUCAAGAUUUUUUUUAUACUUUUAUUUCUCCCCUUAUUCGAAAACAUAAAAUCUAAAAGAAAAAUGACUGUAAUUUAACUACUUGAAAGGAUUAAAAUGAAUGUUCCACACUUUCACUCGUUUUUUUAGGCUUAAUGAUAAUAACAAAGAAAAAUAAAAGGUUCCUGCCCGAGCGAGAAUUUCAGUUGGUCCCUGAUGAAAAUAAUGAUUCCCGAGAAUGUCCCUUAUAUAUGACUAUGGGACACGACACGGGUAACUAGCAACAAGAAAAAACCUGCGACUGCUAGUGAGUGCAAAUUGAAGCAAAGGUUGCUGCAACCGCCGUUGAGUGAGGGCGGUUGGGUUACGAUGUUGCAAGCAAUGCAUCUGAUGAUGGCCAACACUUACAACGUUGCCGGUGAGCGUCUUUCUCUGUCACCUUCAUCCUUUGAACCAUACCAUAACCCUUCUUCACUCUCUUCUUUCAUUUUCCUCCACUCUAGCCUUUAGGUUUUUUUUUUUUCCUUAUGUUUCUUUUCAGUUUGCCUCCUAUGAUAGCUAGCUUUUGAGACAUGGAUCGUUUUCAGCUUCUUUUUCCGUCAUGAUUGAAAAAAAAUCAAACUGCUGUUCUGUAAAUAACCACUCUGCAAUUAAAUUGUGCCAUUUUACUGAAGCACUAGUAAUAUAUAUCCUGGAUCAUACUCUCUAUCCGCUACUGAGAUAAACUUGAAAUCAUGAUCAUUUGAAUUCCUAAAACAAUUGUGAUGUAUGUAUCAUUGCUCAAUUCAGAGAUUGAUUACUUAGUGCCUUAUCCUAGGUUUCUAUGAUGGAUUGUGUUGCUUUCUGUCAUACAUAAAUAAGGACAAAACUUAGAUGCAGUUCUACAAGUGUUUUUUGUUGAUGUUGUCCAAUUAGAAUUGGAGUUUCACUUCAGUAAUUCGGGUAUAAAAAGGUUUUCAAUAAAUGUCAAAUAGAUUACCAAGGUGGAACUCCAAUCCUGAUUGAAGAACAACAGCAAAAGUACUCAUGGAAUUGCAUCUAAGUUUUGUCCAAUAAAUAUGGCUAUAUGUUUAUUAUAUUUUUUCUGUUCAUUUUAUUUUACUUCUCUCUUUAUGGUUUUUGAAGUGGUUUUGGUCAUACCGUGGGAUGUGGAGUGGCAGAAGGUAGGUUUCUUCCAUGUUUGGGUGUUUCUGGAAGAACAGCUUCUGUGUUUUCUUGCUCCUCUCAGGGUUACCACAGAAUUCAUUCACAUGUCACAAUUAGAGGGCUAAAGUGUUCUUCUAGGGGUGCAUGUGCAUCUUUUGUGUGUGAAGCGAGGAGGAACCCUGAAUCUUUCUCUAGGCAAAACAAGCAUGGAUUUUCCAGAAGCAGGAAGUGGCUCAAUGUAGACAGAGACAGCUUUGAGAACAUUGAAAAAGACAUGUUAUCAUUGAAAAAUGGUUCAUUGGUAUCUCAUUCUAGCACACUAAAAAACCAUGCCAAUGCCAAUGCUGCCCCUAGGCCUAAAGAGAAGGAGAUUAUUACACUGUUUAAGAAGGUUCAGGCUCGGCUAAGAGAGAGAGCUACUACUAUUAAGGAAAUAAAGAAAGUUGAAGCAUCCCAAGCACAGUCUAAAUAGAAUGGUUCUGUUAAUUCUCUCCUCAAGCUACUGAGGAAACACUCAGUUGAGCAAGUAAAGAGAAGUAGUGGUGUUAACAGAGGGGAAAACGAUAGUUUGGACUGGUUGCAAGAUUGUGGUCAAGACAAUGAAAGUCAAAGCACAAAAUUUCCUGAUUUAAAUGGUACUCCUAAUAAUGAGUCUCAAGAAACUAACAUUUCAUUAGUUAUCAGGCCUCCAUCUAAUUUCCAACGACGGUCUUCUUUUUUUCGGUUAAAGUAUCAACCUGUCUCUAACGACGAUAAGGAUGUGAAUGCAGUCCCCUGAGUAAUGUGGUUACAGAGAAAGAUCAGGAUCAAAUCGGCAUCAAGCUUGAUCCUGAGCCAGAGCAUGACUCUGAACUGGAACUUGAUCCAAAGGAUAAGCCCUUGUUCCCCGAAGUGGGGAUUGCGAUUUCACAUGAUGAUGAUUAUCUUGAUUCUGAACAAAUAUAUAAUGAUGAACAUGGGGAGGACCAACAAGUGGAACAACAUGAGGAUUUGAGUACAAUGAAGCUGUCUGAACUAAUGGCACUUGCGAAGUCUCGUGGCCUCAAAGGGUUUUCAAUAAUGAAGAAGAGUGAGCUCAUGGAGUUGCUAACUGGAAGCUGAUUUGGACCAUAAGUUAGAGAAGCAAAAUCAAGGAACAACAGAUUUUACCAAUAUCUGUUUUUUACCUGUGAAUUUAUCUGGUUUAUUUUUUCAUCGUUUUUAAUUUAAUUCCUUCAAAUACUUGAGGGUUUGUGGAUCAUUAAAUAGAAUAACCAUGCUAUUAUUCAGGCCUCGGAGGAUUUUGAAUUUGUAACUGUAUUCCCACGAUGAGAUUUUUGAAUUUUUUUUUACUGAUUAAAAGUACACCAUUUCAGUAUGAUAAUGCUUCGGGACUAUUAAUCAUUGUUAACCGUAUUGUAUAGCUAUAAUCCUUAUCAGGCCAUUGUUAACCAUUUUGUUUACAUAUCCAGCAAAAAUAAAUAAAUAAAUAAAUGUAGUAAUACUUUUUUUUUUAUCAAUUUUUAUUUUUUGAAAAUAAUUAUAUUCCUUAAACAAAAACGAACAUUGGAUCUGAAAGCUAUAUAGCUUAGCAAAACAGGACCGAACGGACUACAUGGGUAGCAAAAUAUUUAUGACAAAAGGGAUCUAUAUAUGCUAUUCAUAAUCCCUUUUUGCUCUUCACACUCUCCAUUUUCUAUUUUUUGUUUUUUGAUAUUCCUAAAAUAUCACUAUUCCCUCUCACUUUCCUACCCUCACUUUUCAUAUAUAUUACAGAAAUUAGUCUCUCUAAUAUAGUUAUGUUUUAAUAAAUUAUUAUAUUACGAAAAUUAAUUUCCAUAAAAUGUUUUUUGUCAAUUUUUUUAACAGAAAAAUAGGUAGGCAACACAAAAAGCAAAAAAGUGGGGUGUAAAUGACACAAACCCAACAAACAAGGCCGAAACUAUUUCUGAGUAGUUUAUUUUAACAAAGCUCUCUUUUCCCCUGCAUCCCAAAAAUCUCAACCUACAUCCCUUUUCACCCCCUCAUAGUGGAAAGAUUAAUUGGAAUGAAGGUUUUACAUUUCAAAUUACCUAAAAGAUUGUUAGGGUGAAAGAAAAAUAAAUUAGAAAAGCUCACUUACAAAAAAGAUGAUUAAUUAAAAUUAGGAGCUCAUAGUUUUAACUUCCCACUUUGUUUUCCUUCGUUUAAAAAAAGUUGUCCUUCAUCGCCAAAAAAAAAAGAUGUUUUCCUUCUUUUAGGAGACAACAUCACGUUUGGCUUGCCUGCAUAGUGCUUAUGCUUGCUUCCAAUAUAAACAUUUUCCUUAUCACCACUUAAUAUAGCAGUCACCAAGUGCCGCUAAAUAGAAAAGGGAAUAGAAUAUUCACAAUUCACAUGCAAGGGGUCCCCAAUUUGAAAGUUUAGCCGAAGAAGCUUGUGAGUUGGUGGCCGCUGAUUCAGUAACUUGGACAUUAAUUUCUUUAGUUUUUAAUGUGUGUUGUUUUAUCAAAUUUAAUCACUCACAUGGGGGAAGGAAGAGAUGGGGAAACAAAAUCCCUCUAUUAUGCAAACCAUGACGUAUACGGCAAACAAGAUAAGCAAUAGUUAAUAUGUAAUCCAAUCUAAGGCGAGCAAGGAAGAUCUCAUUUGUUUAGCUUGAUACCGAUUGACUUUGAGCUUUUUGAGGGAUAAUGAGGGGAUACAAUUUUAACCCAAAAAAGAAGGGUAUAGCAAAAGCAAAAGAAAAUACGUAUCACACAUCUUUAAAAAUCACAUCUCGUAUCUAGAGUAGGUGGUUCAAUCAAAACGUAAUUAUGUAAAAAUCACGAAGAAAAUGUAUUGAUAACUUUGAGUGUUUUUUUCUCUUAGUCAACACUCUUGCUUAUUGAAAAAAAUAAAGGCUUAUAAAUUAUAGGAGGGGUUGAAAUCUCAUGUCGUCUAAUUCUUUUUUUAUUUUUAUCAACAAAUAAAAAAUAUAUAGAUGUAUAGGAUAUAAAGGGUGUCCAAAACCCAAGCGAGAAUGACCAAUAUCUGAAUCACAUAACACUUUAACAUUAUUUAUUGGAUAGCGAGAAUAAUCAAUAUCUGAAUCACAUGAUAUUUCAACAUUGUUUAUUGGAUAAUAAAAUGAUUACCACAUCAGUUUAGUAUAAUGAUACAGUUAAAAUAUUUUUUUUAUUGGUAAAUAUUAAUUUUUAUUAUAAUACUAAUAGAAGAUUUAAACUUAUAACUUCUCUUUAUUCUUCUUGCUUCAACCCUUAAACCUUUCUUCAUAAUCAUCAAAUCAAUCUUAUAACUUUUAUAUGACUAAAAUAAAGUAUAACUGAAGCGCAAACCUUACCUUAUAAGCCAAUUUUAUAAGGUUUUACAAUCAUAACUCAUAAUUCUAAUAUAGUAUUAGAGUCUAUUCUAAUGAGUAUCAUUAGACAUUCUAUGUUACUUGCUAUCGAACUACUAUUAGACCUGUAUAAGUCUAGUUUAACAAAUUUUAUGAUUGACAUGUCUAAUUCUCGAUAAGAGAAAUUGUGUUGGAAAUCAUACAUCAAUAAUGAUGAGACAAAAAAUAAUAUAUAUACAUGAGUCAGAUGUCUAGUUACUCAUUAAAUAAUUAGUGGAUUAAGUGUUCAUUUAACUAUGAGUUAUAUGUUUUUAAAAUUAAAAAAUUUAAAAAUAGUUUGUGUGUGCUAAGGAAAAUAAUUUUAUCAUUAAUAAUAAUUCUAUUCAAUUGAAAGAGUGUUUAUCGUGAAAAAUAUAUGUAUUCUUAAAAAAAAAAUGUAAGAAUGAUAUAAAAUCCAAUAUAUAAAGUACAUUAUAAUUCUUCCAAGAGUAUGGACUUUGGUGUGACUUUAUGAGGAUGAUAUAACAAAAUAACAAAUAGAUAAAGCUGCUGUACAUCAAUGGUUAUAAUGAAAGGAAUGAUUAUUUACAGCUAUGGGUAAGAUAUACGAAAGAAAAAAGGAAGUCUACGAUUAUUACAGCUAUGACAAUAAAUAAAGCUCGUAAAAACAAAACAAAAGUCCAAGAAUAACCAACGGGUCUAAUUAAGUUGACAUGUAUGACUUUAAUUAAGUUCAUAAACAUUUACUAUGUGCAUAGCGAACAAAGAAAUUGUGUAGCUGAUCACGACGACUGAUACAUAAUACAAUAUUGUUUUGACUUUGGAUAAAAAAAAACAGAUAUGAUACAAGUAGGUUAAUAUCCAAGAAGUGCUACGUACUUUCCAAAUCUUUCUUUGGUAUAGUGUGACAGUGAUGUAAUGAAAAAGGAAGAGAUAAAUAAAAAGAAAAUAAGGUAAAAACGAAAUAGAAGAAAAACAUGAGCGAUAUGUUUAUAACAAUUAGCCCAUUAGUAUAUAUAAAUUGCUGUUAAAAACCCAUUAGUAUAAGUCUUGGAUAAAAAAUCUUAAUUGCAUAGAGCCACUUUGUCCACAAUUUUAAUAAAGUAGUUAUGUAAAUAUCAAACUUUAUUAGCAGUUUUUUCCACGACUUUGACGGUCUUCACAAUUACUACUCAUUGUACUCAAUGUUUCAAAACCACAAUGCUUAUGGUUGGCACUUCCUAAGAAUUUAAUGAGUGAUAGAAACCUUGACUUGGAGUUGGAGCUGGCUAAGCACUGCCUAAGAAUUUAACGUUCUCUAACAGAAUUGAUAUGAAUCAAAUGCAACACAAAAGUUCUCAAGACACAAUAUGAGAAUCAUUAGAAGAUAUAAGGUUAAUUUUGUGGUUAAAAAAAGUAAAAAAAAAAAGAGAAAAAAAUGUUGUAAAUUCAAAUGUCGUAACUAAUAUUUUUAACAAAAUUAAUAAAUUAAUAUUUAUGGAUAAAAAAAUAUUAUGAGUUAUUUUGCCUUAAUUCAAAGCAUAGUGGUUAAAUAAAUCGGAGCGGAACAUAGUCAAGAAAGUUGUUUACGUGGGCCUGUCAAUCUGAUUCAUCUAAUUCAAAGCAAAAGAAAUGGCAUCUUAUUAACAUUGGCAAAUCUUGAAAAUGAUCAAUUGAAGGUUACUGACAGUACUACAAUGACACCCCAUUUGUGAUUUGUGGAGAAAAAGAAAAAUUCAUGUCAUGGAAUGGUGUUGGUGUUGGCUCACAUGCUUACCACAAAUGUCACAGGCACAGCUGAAUGUUUAAAUGUGCUCACGGAGGGAGGGUCAGAUCUUCUAUUGCUAUUGGCUUGGAUCCAAAGGACGAUUUGGUUAUUGGUACAAUUCAAUAUAGCCAGCAAAGAUUGCCCCAAUGCAAGUCCCCAACUAAGUAAGCUAGCAUUGCCACUCAGCUCAAUGGUACUAUUGAUGUUCCCUAACUGCACUAUUGCAUCAAAUGGAAGAGUGUAGACCGGGUAGUAGCCUAGUCCUUUUUUGCUAAUGAAUUCUGAGUUUUAAUGGCUUACCUAACCCUUUUUUUCUUUUGGUAGACCUAGCUAGCCCUUCUAUCCAUAAGGACUUGGCUGAAUGGCUGGUGAUUUUAGGUAGGUCACGCUAGUCACAUGGUUCAAGUGAUGCAAUGAAAAAUGGAAAAAGAUAAAAAUGAGAUGAAUGAUAAUAAAAUAAAGGUUCAAAUAUAUUUUUCGUUUUUAUAAAAUUAUAUAUUUUUAUAAAAUUAUAAGUGUUAUUUUUUUUUUCUGGAUUAAAGUUAGUAUCCAAAUCCAUAAUGAUGAUUUAUACAUAUAAUCAAUGUAAAUGUAAUAUUUUCUAUAUCAAUUAUGUAUGUAAUCAAUCUAAAUAAACAUUUUUUAUAUCACUUAUAUAUAUAACUAAUGUUAAAAAAUUAUACAUAUAAAUUUAGAUAUAUACGAGGAUAAAAAUUAUCUUUUAGUCUAAAAUAAAUUACGAAUUUAAUUUCUUUAGUAUUAUUAUUUAUCUUUAAGUAUUCCUUAAAAGUAAUGAAAUAAUGCAAGUAAUUGUUAAAAUAUUAAAUAUCUAUUAUUUCAUUCCUUAAGUUGAUAUAUUUUAUUAAAGAUCGUGAACUAAUUCGAAAGAUUUUUCAAUACUUAAAAAAUUACUUAUGAUGAUUUUAAAUACCUAAAGGAUAAUGUAAUUUCUUAGGGACUGCUACCAUAAUCUAGAUACAUAUGAUAUUAUCGUCUUUACUUUUGUAAUUUUUUAAUUCAGAAACUUUUAUUUUAAGAGAAGGUAGUAUUUUGUGGGAGAGAUUAUAGUUUAUUCAAAAGAAUACGAAAUGUAUGUUUUUAAGCACUUAAUAGAUGAAUAAUACUUUAGAUAGAUCUGCCUAUAAAUGCACUAUUCUUGACUUAUUUUAUUUUAUUUUUGGGUGAAGUGCGGAGUGAUAUUCUCUAAUGAUGAAUGGCCUAUAUUACAAAUUAUUUUAUAUGUUGUUUGAAUAUUGGUUUUACAAUAUUUUUCACUCUUUGGUAAGAUAAUAAAUAUCCCUUCCUUCAUAGUGUUGAACUUGUUUCUCCUUACACAAAAAUGACACUAUUGGUUUUACAAUAUUUUUAAUACGACUUUAAAGGAAUUAUUAUGAAAUUAAUAAAUAUAUCAUUUAUGGCAGUUUUUUUUAACAUGUUUAGACAAUUUUUUUAAAUUUUAAUUGUUUCUCUUUCAUAACCAGCUAGUUCCCCUCUUUUUGUCACAGGAAUUGAAACUCAAAUUUAUAAAAAGAAAAUAAUUAAAAUAUCUAUCAAUUAUUAAGAGAAUGACUAUCCAAAAAAUAAUGGCAGUCAAACUAAUUUUUUAUAAAAAAAUUUAUAACUACCUUAAUGACGGGAAAUUAAGACAAGGGCUUAUCUUAAUCAUUCAUGAAGGAAAUUUUCAAAUCAACAAUAAAUUAAUUUGCCCAAACUUUUGUCUCAGUUUAGUUAUGCAAUAUUCAUUUUUAAUUUAAAUAUACUAGUAAUGUAUUUUUUUAUACUAUCAUUAUUUAAAUAUUAAUAUGUAUGAUACAUUUAUUAUUAUUUUUUUCUAUAAUUUAUAAUUUAAAUAUACUAGUAAUGUAAUUUAAACAUUUUUUUAUUGAUUAUCGAUAUAAAGUUUUUUAUACUAAAUAAAAACUAAACUCUAUAAAAAUAAUAUACCGAAAAAACUCUAUAAAUAUAUUACAAAAAUUUUAAAUUUUUUCACAUUAUUUUUUUUAAAAUUUUAAAAAAUUGCUUUUUGAAAGCAAUAGAAUAAGACCUUAAUUCGAUUUGUGUGCUAAGAUUGUUAAGGAUCCACCACCUUAACUAUUUUAUGGUUAUUUUAGGUUGUUCUUUACUUAACUUAAUUUGAUGAAAAAUUUCCCUUUAGUUGUUGGACCCUCUGCGUCAGGCUUUCCGGGUAGCAUUGUUGGGAAACAGAGCUAUGCCAUGAACGAAGGAGAAGAACCCCUUUCACUCACCAUCAUCAUCAUGCUAAUUCACAUAUCAUUUCACUUCUUUUAGACAAUCUCGUGCUUUGAAAUUCAUCACCAUUUCUUUCACCACUCUUCCACUUUCAUAACUAUGCAUAUAGGUAUGUCUGCGAAUGCAAUCAUCCAAACCAAACCUGCUACUUUUCCUCACAAAAUGCCUUCUUUUUUAGUUUUCUUAUAAUUUUCCAUGGCUUUCUCAGGUGCCCUUUUGUAGCUUUUGAUCCAUUGGAGGAUCGUCUAUUGUUUCUACUAUUUUGGGUGGUUUCUGGAUUUUGUGCGGUGUUAUACAUUUUAGAAAUUUCUUAAUAAUUGGGUACCCUUUGCUAUGUUUUUGUUGUCGAGGCUCUAUGUAGAGUUGUUUUUAGAUUGGUCAUAGAAAGAUGUGUUAUUUCUAUCUGUGUUCAUUGGAAAAACUUGGGAGAAGUUGUCAAAGAGAGAGUAAAUUGAAGUACUUUACCAAUAUAUGGUUCUGGCAGAUGAAUAAUUCUGUCUGAAAGUUGAAUUAGUAUCAUUUGAGUUGACGAGUGAGGUUACUGAAACCUCUGAAAACCGAAUUUUCUUUUUCCUUCCAUGGACUUUAACGGUUUGUCUUGCAUGCAUCAUUUUCAUUCAGCAAUUGCAUUUGGUCUCUUUUAGUGAAUCAUUGAGUUCCUCUUUGUAAUUUUGUAUAUUAGACCUGCUAUACUUGCAAGUGAAAUCCAUUUGCCUUUUCAUGCAAUGGUGCAAAAUUAUUUUGUGUUAUCUACUUUAGCACGGUUCAAGUGCUUAUGUGUUAGUCUUUAGAUGCUGAUCUGCGUUUUUGCGUGAACACAAACAUGUGGUACUGUUUUUUAGAAUAUUUUUCAACGUUGGACUCUAGUUUAGUCACUAAUUGUUGUUGGACAAUCAGAAAACUAGACAUUUGGAGCUGGAAAUGAAUGAAAAAUAAGUCAAUUGCAAAAAACUACCAUGUGCUUUGAAACUAAUCAAUUUGAUUCCUUGAACUUAGCAAAUCGUGCAUAAUGGCUCCUUUCAAGGGUUUCCUACACAUGCUCAAACGGUUAUGUGUUUGGUAAGUUUAGGGAGCCAUGUUACUGAGUUUUGAACCACAUGAAAUUUUGCUGCAAUUGUCCUGUAACUAGAGGGGGUUUAUAUUCAUUUUAGCGAAAUAUUAACUUAAUUCCCUAGUGCUUGUUACAAAUGUUCUCUUUUAAUUUAUUUUUUGUUGUUUUUGUAACACUGGUUUGCUAUUAUUUUGGUCUAACUGAAGCAGGUCAAAUAAAUACAUCUUCAGUGAAAUGUCUUGUCAACAGCAUUUCGCGAUUCAUACAUCUAGUUUCUUGCCAAGCAGUGAAACCUAUGCCCCUUCAAAAGAACUGUAAUAAUAUGGUUUGUGUGUUGAAGCAUUUGAAACCAGUGCUCGAUGAUAUUGUGGAUUUCAAAAUCCCUUUCGAUGAAAAUCUGCAUAGAGAAUGUGAAGAAUUGGAUAUGCGGGUUAAUGAAGCUAGGGAGUUCAUUGAAAAAUGGGGCCCGAAGAUGAGCAGGAUUCACAGUGUAAUUACUUACAUUCUUAAUUUCUUGUACUUGAACAAAUAUCAUUAUUCGACAACUGUUAUUGAACUUGUUUAAGAUCCUAAACCUCUAUGUUGGCAUUUGAACAAGGUCAAAAGAAACAAUGCACCACCAAUACCUCCCCCAUCUGUCUUUCUUCUCUGGAAGAGAUUGAUCACAACCUCUUAACUAUUUUGUUGGGAAUAUUCUAUUUUCAGGUUCUUCAAAGUGGGGAAUUGUUGAUCAAGUUACAGAACUCUUCAUAUAAGAUUUGUCACAUGAUAGUUAAAUCACUAAAGGGACCUGCAUCUGUUUUGGUUUCGGGUAAUCUUCAGGUAGGUCCAACGUUAAAAGUAAAUUUUUUCCUUAUCAUUAUUCAUUUGUUCUUCACUUCUCCUAUCCCACUCCCCUGUAAAAGUAAAAGGACAGGGUAAAGAAAGUCAAACUACUUCAUUUGGCAGUAAUAGUUAUUGUCUGUUUUGUGGGUGCCUUGCGGCUCAAUAGAAUUAUGGCACUAAUUGCUAGCUACUUUUCAGCAAUAUAUGCAGGAACUUCAGUGUCUUAAGAAGGAACCUGCAAUGAUCUAUAUAGAAGACGCAUUGAGAAAUCAAAGGGAUAAUAUCGAACCUUGCUAUGAUUCUCUAAAGGAAAUUAUACGGUUACUCAUGAUAUCAAACCAGGAGCUACUGAUAGAAAGUAUUGCUGUGGAAAAGGAAAGGUCAAAUGCUGAAGUCAAUAAAACAAAAGGGGACUUGGAUGAAAUUAACCAAAUUGUGAAUCUUGUGUGCAGUUUACGUGAUUAUGUGAUGAAAUUUGAGCGCCCUGAAGUCAAAAGUGGUGUUUCAAUUCCCCCCUAUUUUCGAUGUCCUUUAUCAUUAGAACUCAUGUCAGAUGCUGUUAUUGUGGCUUCAGGUCAGACAUAUGAAAGGCAAUCCAUUCAAAAGUGGCUUGAUCAUGGGCUAACUGUUUGUCCCAACACUCGCCAGAUACUUGUCCAUACAAAUCUCAUUCCCAAUUAUACUGUUAAAGCUAUGAUAGCAAAUUGGUGUGAGGAAAAUAAUGUCAAACUUCCCAGUAACUCUAAGCAAAGUAAUUCCUCUCAUAUUUCAUCCCCCUCAGAUCAUUUAUUACAUCAAGAUUUAGAUCGUCUGUGUAGCUUUGAGUCUUCAGCUAGUAGCGAUUCCAAUUCAAAUCAAAUUGCAAAUGCAUUUGAGAAACCAAAGGAUGAUAACUCUUUCAGAUCAAGCAGGGAAUCUGAUAGAAGCUGGAAUGGAGAGACAGAAAAGUUUGAGCAACAAUCCCCUGCACCUUCAUGUAGUAACAGCAGAAGUGAAUCAUUUUCAAGUUCUAUUUCUAGUACUGAUUAUGUAUUUCCAGUUUUGAAAGAGGUGUCAGGCAUAUCUAAUAAGCAUCAAAAUGUGGAGUUGUCUAGAGAAAUUACUGAUGGGUGUCCUGCUUCUCCUGCAUAUAAAGAAUCAGUGAUUUAUCCUUGGUUAUCUGGAAAGCAAUUUCAUAGCCCUGGAUCAAAAAUUGGAAGGAUGGAGGAUGAAAAUAAGUAUAAUGAGAGUAACAAUAUUAGUAUUACCAGUCAUUCAAAAGUUGCUUCCCAUCCUGUAGGAUCCAAUGAAUUGAUCACCACAUCCCAUGUCAAUGAGUUGAUUGAAGAUCUCCAGAGUCAAUCGAAUGAAACACAAACUGCUGCUGCAGAACAAUUGAGGCUCUGUACCAAGCAUAACAUGGAGAACCGCAUCAGUGUAGGGCGGUGUGGGGCAAUUAUGCCUUUACUCUCACUGCUAUAUUCAGAAAGGAAGAUAAUACAAGAGCAUGCCGUGACAGCUCUACUGAAUUUGUCAAUUAAUGAAGGCAACAAGGCCUUGAUUAUGGAAGCAGGGGCCAUAGAACCACUUAUCCAUGUUUUGAAGACAGGGAAUGAUGGUGCAAAGGAGAAUUCUGCUGCUGCUCUGUUCAGCCUCUCUGUAAUAGAUAACAAUAAGGCAAAAAUUGGCCGUUCUGGUGCAGUCAAAGCUUUGGUGGGUCUUCUAGCCUCAGGAACUCUUAGGGGAAAGAAGGAUUCUGCCACUGCUUUAUUCAACCUAUCAAUAUUCCAUGAGAAUAAAGCUCGUAUAGUUCAAGCUGGAGCCGUGAAGUUUCUGGUUCUGCUAUUGGACCCUACUGAUAAAAUGGUUGACAAGGCUGUUGCUCUUUUGGCAAACCUGUCAACAAUUGCAGAGGGCCGAAUAGAAAUUGCAAGGGAAGGGGGCAUUCCCUCACUAGUUGAAAUUGUUGAAUCAGGUUCUCUGAGGGGAAAGGAAAAUGCUGCUUCCAUCCUCUUGCAACUAUGUCUUCAUAAUCAAAAGUUUUGUACCCUGGUUCUCCAAGAAGGAGCUGUACCUCCCCUAGUUGCAUUAUCUCAGUCUGGUACUCCAAGAGCUAAGGAAAAGGUAUGGAACUAAUCCUCUUGUCUUUGUCAUCUAUUUUGGUGGUCAAAUUUUUAUUUAGUGUGCAUAUACAAUUGUUUUGCUACAUUUUUAUGAGCUGUGUUACUCUUCUCUAGGAAAAUAGUGUUCAAAUCUUGGUGUUCAAUCAUGGUUACAGAAUCAAUUUGUUGAAACAAUGUGCUAAAAAAUCUGGCAUUCUAAUCUAUGUUCUGCAGUGCAUUCUUCCCCCAGCCUUGCCCCCAAAAACAGUGAAGAAGUAAGUUUUGACCCUUUUGUUUGGGAUUGUUGUUGAGAUAUUUUCCCUUUGAUCUGAUAUUUAUCAAGUAGAAAGAUAGGAGAAAGCAUAAUUCAUGCUCAAGAGAAAUAAUAAUUUUCACAAUGGACUUUUUAAGUAACACAAACUUAUGAAAAAGUAUACAAACAUUGAGGGGUGAUUGCAUACAGAGUCUCACAUCAUAAGCAUAAUCUGAAACGUGGAAGAAGUGCUAACAAUAUGUUCGCUUACAUGCAGGCACAACAGCUUCUCAGUCAUUUUCGUAAUCAGCGUGAAGGAGUCAAGGGGAAGGGGAAAUCAUGAAGAUAAGGCAAUUUUGAUCAUUUCAUUGCCCUUUUCACUCUUUCCUCAGUAACUCCCUAAUCUACAUCCACUUGAGGACUUUAGGGCUCCUUUACUCAUUUUUUUAAUUCUUUUUAAAUGUAUCAUUUGUGUUGUAGGCACAAACCUUUUUUUUUGUUUCCUGCAUUAGUAGGGUACCCCCCCACCCCAAUUUGUUUUGUUGGUUUUAAUGGCUUGGUUUCUUUCUAGUAGUGAGAUCUGUUUUGAAGAAAAGGUAAGCUAUUUCUGAAGCUUUAUGCUUUGGCGAGAUGUAAAAACAAAACACUGUUCUGUUGGAGUCAUAAGUCAUAACUGAUGCGGUUGUGAGUCACUGUUGUACAUAUUUGUAAAUAUGGUAUAGAAUCUUGUGAUGUACCAUAAAUUGUUGUACCUCAUUCGGCCAUGUGAGCAUUUUUUUUUUAAUUUAUUCAAUCCUGUUUCAAUCUAUGCUUUCACUUUGACUUGUAUAUAUUAUAAUAUUACUGACCUCACCCGUUCAGAGGUAUACAAAGUUGAUUACAUUCUGAGAGCUUCGAGUUCAAUCCAGGACCUUGUUGGCUAGCAUCAGGUCAUGCAUGUCUUGUUUGUUAAACAAGUAAUGCUCAAAAUUUAAGCUCAUCCAGAAAAUGAUUUAGAAAUGGUGCAUGGUACUAAGGGGUCUAACUCCGUUGAACAUAGUGUGUGAAUUGUUGAAACUCCUUUGAUAUAUACCAAAAAAAAAGACAUGAUGUAUGGCUAUUACUUAUUUUAUAUUGUUACAAUGUGUCUAUUUGAGAAUAAUUUGUCCUUGGGGAUGGUUACAUUAUCAUUAUACGGUUGAUAUUUGUCAAAUACUGGUGAAUAGAAUUUUAUAUGAUCAUGUGGUUCAAGGGUACAUAAUUUCUCCCUAAGACAGGUGCAACUAAUGCACCCAGGUUGGAAUUUGGUGAAAUGGGUCAUGCCCAAAGUUAAACUGAAGCAACCAAUUAUUAUUUCCAAAUUUAUGGGCAUAUUGGUUGUAAAAAACGGUGUGAAAACUAAUUGUAUAUGGGAUUUUUUUUUCCUGCACUUCCAUGCUUGAUUCAUGCACUUCCUAUAUUGCUUUCAGCACAUAGAAAGUGCAGGAAGGAAUUUUCCUAUAUAUCUUUGACAUUAUGUUCUACCUAUGUUUAUUUGGGAUCAAUGAUUGGGUCAUGUUCAUGACCAAAAAUUGAUUGGGCUUGUGAUCUUUUUGUUCUGUAGUGUCUUCCAGCCAUCAAUUUAGCAAAAGGAAACAAACAAAAUUGACACGAUCAAUACUCCGUAGUCAGAAGGGGGUAUGGUUCGUGGCCUACUACCACAUGUGUCUAUCAAUAUUCAAGUACUAACUAGGUAAAAAAGACGUACAAAUUUGUCCCAAAAACUUAAAAGCAAUUCAAUGUGUUCUAUCAAUCCUUCCUUAACGAGGGAGAAAGAAAAAAUGUAAUGGUUAUGUACUCUAAUGCAAAAACUUUACUUAAAUGCCACCGUAAAAAGAAAGUAAAAAAGAGGAAAAGAAAAAGCUAUUAUUUUUUUUUGGAAAAGAAAAAGCUAUUAUACCAUUGUCUAAAUCGCUUUGAUAGGAAAUUAAUGUGUCACUUUGCUUUGACGUGCCCAAAGUUUUCUCAGAUCUUAACCUUAUAACCUUAAUAAUCAUUCAGGAAUAUAUUCCAUUUAUUGUCACUUUGAAAAUCUGCAAGAAACACAUGUUGAAGAAAACCUCAGUUGAAAAACACUACAAACACCAGUAUUAUUCUUUGCUUUUCCUCGAGAAAAGAGAAACAUGAAAAUAACGCGGGCAGAUUUGCCUCAUAUGCACGAUGCCCAGACUUUGAUCGUUCAAUUUGGAUGGGAAUUUACCUAAAUUAUUAUGGGCAAUUUGAAAUUACAAAAUACCCAUUCAGUGCACUUGAACUAACUAUGUUUUGCAAGCAAAGAAGGCAUUUGAUGCCGAAAGAAAAGCAUGAUUUCCCUCUAGUCCAAAGUUAGAAAGACAUUCUCUGAUAUAUAGUUGAAAUAUAUUAAAAAUUAUGAAAGUAGAAAUGAGGUUUUUUAAAUAAGAUGUAAGGCAUUAUUUCACCAACAAAAUCUACCAUAAUUAGUAUAAUUAGGAGAUAGUUAAGUCUUUUUAUUUUUUUUAUGAAUAGAAAUUAAACUCAGAUAUUACAAAUUUAUAAUACUUCACAUACAUUCAAUUAAUUGAGCUAGAUUCUCAUAGUCGAGUCUAUAAAACAUGCUGUAAAAAAUUCAAUACUAAAUAAUUUUUAUAAAAUACUUCAUUAAGAGAGAUAAUACACACUUCAUUUAUCUAUAAAAACUACAAAAACAUCAUUUCAUGUGUUUCAAUAAAUUUUAACUAUUAAUAGCGUGUUUUAAAAAAUAUUAAAAAUUGUGUUACUAAUAUUUUUCUAAAGUUUUACAACUAGUAAUUUUGUUGACAUGCAUAAAUAAAUAAACUUCCACUUAGACUAGUUUUUGGUUAGCAAAUAAAAGUGGAAUCCAUUAUCUUUAUACAUAUCAUUUUCAUCUUUUAUUCUCGCCUACUUUCUUUCUUGAAAAUCUUUUGGUACUUCUUCUUCCAAAACAUUUAUCACAUUUAAAGUUUUAAGGUUUCAAUUUUUUAAAAUUAAGCUGAUAAUUGUUUUUUCUUUCUAACUUUAUCUAGCUUUUACUGAUUAUUUGGUUUAAAAAACAUAAGAAAUAAUUAGGCCAUAUUUAAUAUGAUAUUUUUUAUAUGCAAAUUUUAAAAAGUAAUUAAAAACAUUUUCCUAAACAGAAUAUCACUUAAAAGUUUCCUCAUUACGUUUGAUUAAAAGAAAAUAUUUAUCAGUUUGCUUGGAGAGGAGGAGGAAAGUAAAAGUUAAUUAUUAUUAACAUCUUUUAUGCAUGUCGUCCCUGUAAGGCUUUUUACAUUAUUUUUUUUAUGUAGUCCCUUUUUGUCUUAUGAAAUCAAGAGCAAAUUGGAAGUGAGAAAGUGGUGAUGGAAAGCACUGAUCGGAGUAAUGUUAUUGGUGGAGAUGCUUUGCUUCUUUGGUGAAAUUGAAGGUGCCCUAACUGGGAGACAAAAAUGUGCCUUAGCAUGUUUGUAGUUGAAUGCGUAUUUGUGGGUCGAGACUCCAUUGUCACAAAAGUCGUCAAUACAAAAAAUAAUUAAGAAAGAAAAUGAGGAAACAAUGACAGGGGAAGAGUGUGAUAGCAGGGUACAAGGGGGUCACUUGAAUAAAGAGAUGCGUAAAUGUUGUAAAUUUUAUGUUCAAUUCAUGUAAAAAUAAUAAUAAUAAUAACAAAGUUACCAACGUUUAUCCAACAUUCAAAUGACCCGCUUCACAAAUAAUUUACAGAAAAUAUUAAAUUGUUUAAAAUGUAUCCUUUUAAUGUUUUUUAAAUAUAAAAUUAUUUAUUAAACUGUCAUAACUAAUUUUCAUUUAAUAAUUUUUCAAUUAAUAUUAAUGUUAAUUCAUUUGAUCUUUCUUCACUCUUGAGAGAUGAUUGAUCUUUUGUAAGAUUUUUAUUAUUUCUAACAGUAAGACAACUUUUAUUCUAGUAUUAAAAAAGACAAAUAAAAGGUUGAUAGGUAAUGAAAAUUAAAUGAAGGCCAUUUUAUUAUUAAUUAAUUUAAUUAAAAUUUGGGAAUGUUUACAGACCAAUAAAAAGUGAAACAAGAUUUUUGAAGUUUAUUAUUUAAAGUGCUUGCCUAAAAAAUGUAUAUUUCAAUUAAGAUUAGUACUGUCAAAGAUAUAGAUAAAAUAUAGUUGCUAACUAAUAUAGAAAACGAUAAAAUGUGGCUUAUUUUAAACGAAAAUAAAUACUUUAAGUAUUAAAAGCUAAUUAAAUGUUAUUUAUUUAUUGUUAAAAUAAAACAUAAAUAAAUAACAUGUUCCAGGGUUUUAUUUAUUUGGAGAAAUGGAGGUUAAAAGCAAGUGUUUUAUUUACUUUAGGUCCGUAGGAUAGUCGGAAGAGUUUGGGAGGGUGGAAAAGUUGAAGACAGCUUUUUUUUAAGCAAGCUGAAGACAGGUUAGUCAGCACAAAACACAUAUCUUAAGUCCUUUUUUUCUCUUUUAAAUAUAAUCUCUUUAAUUUUAUGUAAAGAAAAAUUCAUUAACUUUUGGAAGAGGAAAAGAAAAGCAUUCGACUAUUUCUCUCCCCCCCAGGCUCUAGCCUCCAAAACCAACCAAUUUUUUUUUUAUUUUAUAAAAAAUGUGUAUUUUGAUUUUUCCCUUCCUUUUUAUUUCUCUCACCAAAUAAUAGAUUAAUAUCUUCAAUAAGUAAGAUAAAAAGUAUUAAUAAAAUAAGAGAAUAGUAUUGCAAAAAGAACAUAUUUUGAAAUUGAAAAUAUUCAAUACUUUUAAUUGUCAUACAAAAAUAUUAAAUGACAAUCAUUUUAAAUAAUAUUAUAAAUGAAGCAAGGUUUUGAAGAUUCCUUUAUCUUUUUGCAGUGAGGUUGCAAGUUGAAAAGCUCAAGGAUCUGCAGCAACUUGAAGAAUUCAUUAAUUAGACAGCAGUUAAAGUGCUUGUUUCUUCCUUAAAGAUCUCUAUUGAUUGCUUAUGGAACAUGAAUCAACCAGCUGUCUAUGAUCUGUAUUAUUGUUUUGUGGGUACAGAACAGCAGGGCUAAGUCGUAUUUGUAGUUAAGUCCCUGAAUCCUUAGUACCAUUCACAUAACUAAGAUUGGGUCCACUCAAGUGCAUUAGCUUUUCUCAUGAAAGCCUUUCCUUAUCUCCAAAUCAAAUCAAAUUAUUAAGCAUUACAACCCUCUUUUACUUCAGUUAAAUCAUUGACAGUUUAUUAUAUAUGUGGUCCACAAACAGUUGGUAUUGAAUUUUAUAUAAUUAUAAUUAUUUUAUUUUUAAUUAAUAUAUAUCUUAGAAGAAUAUUUUUUUUAAAAAAAAUAAAGGCAAUAUAAAUUGUCGUACUUUAAUUGUAAAAAAAUAUUUAUUAAUAAUUAAUUAUGAUUUCUUCCAAUCCUAAUUUUAGACGACUCUACGUGUUAACUCCUGUUGACACAUUUGGUCAAGUCUUUCGACUACAUUAAUUAACUGUGAUUUGAGUUCUAUUUUAGAUUUUUCUUGUUGGCGGAUUAAUGAUAUAUAAAUUUCAUUGUAAAUAUUAGACGAGAUGGGUUAUCUCUAUUUGGCGUUAGAAGGGCAUGCCUUUUCCUAAUAUAUAUAUUUUUUUAGUAAAAAGAAAAAAAGAGAGUUGACUCUAUGUUGAAUAUAUUAUAUACUAAAUUUAAUGUAUUUUGCAAGAUGAAUGACAUUGAAAUUGUUAGAGGAGCGAAUGACAAAAAUGCAUGUCCUUAAGUUGGAGUUGUACUUCAAGUUCCAUCAUGGGUGUACUGCCAAGUGAAGUGAAAACAUGGCCUUCAUUGUGUUCACUGUUUUCUCAACUUACAACAUUUAUGCAAUCCUGCUUCCCCUCCCAAUUAAUAGUGACAGAACAAACGGCCUGAUUACUUCAAUUAUGAAUUAUCAAUGGUUACUUACCACAGUCUAACACCACUAUUAAUAACUUGAAAGCUCAUUGUCACAUCAUUUACCAGCUUUUUUCCUUCACCUGCUACGUACCACCGACACAUAUUCGGGAUUUGAAAACAAUAUAGCAAUAAAAUUAUAAAUAUAAGAUUAAAGUAUCAAAAUUGUUGUGAUUAUUAUUGUCAUGGGUAUGUAUUAUAUCAAAUACUUUUACUGAGUUUUACAUAUAUAUUUAUAUAUUUGCUUAUUUUUUAAUUUCUAUGACAAUAUAAAUGUGAUAUAAUAUUAAUUAAAUGAAUAAUAAUAUUUCAUUAUAUAGUAAUCAAUAAAGUUGACAUAUAAAACAUUAAAUUUGUGUAAUGGAGUUAAUAAAUAUUAUAUAGAUGUAUGUUGUAUUGAAAUUCACUUUUUUGUUAUUUCUUUUUAAGUUAUUCCUUCAAAACGAUAUCAUUUUGAGAGUUAUGUUAAUAUUUUUAUUGCUUGAAAUAUGACAACUGAAAAGUGAAGUCCAUGUUGUAUUAUAUCUCAGUCAUGUCUCAUCUAUGUUGUGAAUUCUAGCAUUAGUGUUGUAUCCAUACAUAUCACUUGUAUGUGUCCGCGCUUUAUAAUUAAGGGAAGAGCUACAUUUAACGUCCUUUCCCCACGUGAGUUUCUCACCUGAGCACUUCUCCAAUCCUCCGUUGCUGCAAAAAAACUGAGAAACACUGCCAAAAAUUCCAAUGGGAAUCAUGGGAUAUAGGUUAAAGAAGAAGGUAUUGUUGGAUCGGAGGCUUUUUUUUAGAUUCCAGUAAUAUGACUAAAAUGAUGUAUAUAAGAAAAGAUAAUAAUCUUUACAGUUAGUUUUAGGCCGGAGUUGAGUUAGUUCAAAUCUAAAGUUAAAAUAGUGUCACAAACAUCUAUCAACAUGUAGUUCUUGUUCAAUCUAUUGAGUUAUCUGUCAGUUGAUCAGCUAUUAUCUAUUUUUGUAAAUUUCACAUUCUAUAUGUCUAGUUCUUCAUGUGAGAAAGUAUGAUAAAGAUUUAAUAUUGACUAAUAAUAUAACUAAAAUAGUAUAUAUAAGUAUGAGUAAUCGUGGUCACUUCAUAAACUAGAUAAUUUGUAUUUUAGCUUAGUGCUUAUUUUUCAACUUAUAAAGAUGGGAAACAAGGAGAUUCCAAACAGAGGAUGAAUGUGAUUCCCUAUCUAUAUAGGCUUUUAUGGGCUUGAAGCUAUGCUUUAACAAACAAUAAUCUUGAUAACCACAAACAUACAAAGAAGAGUGAAAUUGGCAAACAUAGAAUAGAUGUUACUGUUUAGUUUCUUAGCAUAUUGAUUAUAUAAUUAUAUUUUGGUAAAAAUAUAUUGAUAUAUUUUUCCAACUCGUAACAGCUUCAUGAAAGAACCCUUUUUCAAUCCAGCCUAGGAUAUUGACCACAAGAACUUCAUCCCUUACUCUCCGGGAAAAUUAUUCAUGCGGGGGUUAUCUCCAAUACUUGUAUUAAAACGCAUUCGUGUUGGUUUUUGUGGCUGUGCAAUGACGACUGGUACCAUUCUAAAUAUUAGUAAUUUGACCAUAGAUUCUCGCCCCAUGUGGACUAAAUUUAAAAGUCCGAGUAACAACAGGCUAUAUGAAGUGUUCUAUGGAAUUGAUUAUCUAUUUUUAUGAUGUGAAAGGCACUUCAUGAAUUGUCAAGUACGCUUGAAAGUUACAUUUACUUUGACAUUAAAUAAAAAUGUAUAUAAUUUUAAAAAAAUAAGAUACCAAUUCUUAUUUCAACUAACUAGAAUGGUCCACCCACUAAAGCUUAUUUGGCGGGUGUGAUUGAGAUAAUCUAUGAUCAUGAAACAUGUGGUGUCCCCUCACAUAAUUUUGAAAUAAUGUUUCUUGCUUGUUUUCCUUUUCACAAGGGCAUAAUAACGUCUUGCAUUUGAAAGAUAAGAAUAUACGUAUAUAAGAAGAAAAAAGAAUUCUGAGUACUGUUGUGAUGGAAACAAGAGAAGGAAGAGGAACCAAUACAAUAUUGAAUGGAAGAAUUUAUAUAAUAACACUAAUAAAAUUGUGUGGAAGGCAAGAAAACAGUCUAAGAUCCUAGUACCGGAUUUUGUCAUAGACAACCCAGCAAGAAUUAAUUAAAAAAAUAAUCGAAGACAAAAAAAUUCCCUCUCAAUAUGGAAUAUUUAAUUGCCCCCACUCGGAUGCCUGUCCUGGAAAAACAAAACCAUUUGGUCAUUAAACUAAGAUGAACAGGAGUACAUGCAAAGUAAAGGGUGUAAAAAUAUUAAAGAAGUGGAGAAAGACAUGGAAAAUGAGAAAGAGGCCAGAGUAUGAAUUAUGAAACUAUAUGAAUAUUGCAAAUGUUUUCAUACAAAUGUGUUAAUAAUUUGUAAUUACAUAUGAGUAAACGCUGCAUAUAAUUACGUGCUUCCCUUCAUUUUUUCGUUAAUUUCACCGAAAUCUAACUGCAACAAUAUGUUUGUCCUCCCAUGAUGUUUAUUUUCUAUUUGAUCUUUAAUAUAGGAAAAUGUGCUGAUUUGAUUGUUAAUGAGUUCGGUGUCAACCUAAUUGAGAUUGUCCUUCUCAAUUUGCAGUAACAUAUAUAACUCUGGAUUUUGAUAAAUAAAUAAAAAAAACAAAAAAAAACUGCAACAAUAUGUUGCAUUCAAUGAAUAGUCUAUUAAGUAUCUAGGAGGGUUCCAUGAUUCAAGUAUACUACAUUAAGCUCAUUUUAGUCAAUAAGAAACUCAAAAUGUAUCAAAUAUGUUUUAAACUUUAUGGUAUAUAUCAACAGCAAAUUUAGAAAUAUAUAUUGACUGUGAAAAUAAUAGCAGAUGGUGGUGAAUGGUGAUACAGUUAAGGGUGACCGUGCUGAUGAAGAUGACAAUCUAUAACAGUACACAGUAGUCCCAGCAAGGAUAAUCCAAUCAACUAGCUAUUGGCUUGUUAGUUGGACUGUUUUGUUUCCUUGUUAAUAAGAAAUCAAAAUGGCGAGGAUGGUCAAGUUUGUUGGCUUAAUAUUAUAAUGAGAACUUGAAAAGGGCUAAAAUCUUUAAACAUUAUAGUAUUCUACCAUUACCAGCUGAACAUACCAGUACAAAUGGGGGGUGGGAGAAGAAAAUAAUUACAAUAUUCCUCACCAUGUAUCUAACAAGAAACCAAGACGAUGAUUUGUAUUCAAUAAAAUCACGUAGACUAUACACAAAUCAACUUUACUACAUGAUUGAAAAUGGAAUAGUUAUGCAUCAAUUAGAUGGACCACAAGACACCAAAAUCAAAACAUCAAUUUAGCACGAUUAAGCUUCUUGCCAUGUAGUAAACCAGCAUACUGCAUGCGUACCUUAGAAUAGAGCCCAACAUAUAUAGGAAGCAUACGUAUAUAUUGAUGACUGUCUACGUGUAUAAAAUAAAUGAAUAAAGCAUUCUUUUUGUUUUAAGCAAAGAAUAAAGAAUUCUUGUGACAGCUAAUCAAACAACACAAAAAAACCAAGUACUUAAAGAAGGCAUUAUUCCUAACAAAACGUCUGAUUUUAAAGCAGUAGCUUGAGAAGCAAAAAUAAAAAGCAAUUUAUUUUAACAGAAAAAGCUAAUUUAAUAUGUUUGUUAUUAUUCAUAUCCCCUUCUAAUAACAUUUGAUCCACUUCAUGAAUAUUCAUAAUUGAUGAUUUAUUAUCUUGUGUGCAUGUGUGCGUGUGUGAAAAAUCUUUUCUCUAAAAGUAGUUUUCAUCAAAUUAAUAUUAUUUUAUGAUUAACUUUAAAUGUUAACAAUUUAAAAACUCUAAUACAUAUCAUUAAGGGUAUGUUUGGAAUCACGCUGAGUAAAAAAAUUCCACUUUUCAAAAUAAAAAUGCCAAAAACAACUAUGUUGUAACUUUAGCCUAAAAGUUUGAUGGCUUUAGAUUCAUCUAUUUUCCAAACACACACUAAUUCUAUAUUUACAGUGUGAUCAAAAUAAUAGAAUCGUCAAAGUGAGCAACCUAACUAGCUUGACCAGCAAGCUAUGUUGUGGAAUGUAGACUAAUUUAAAUUUCUUAUAGGCUACACUUUUAUCAACUUAACUUGAUUGUGUGUGUUAGUCCUAGGAGUACUUUAAAUGAGUUAAAUUAUUUGUAAACUAUUACUCAUUAAAUACUCAAUUCUUUAAUUAAAUAAAUAAGUCCAAACUUUAUAUUAUGCUUGCUUAUUUAAAUGAGUCAAAUCUAAAUUUAACAAGUUCGACAUUAAUAGUAUGUGACAAAUAGUUAUAUAUAUCAUGAAAAAAAUUCAAUUACAUAGAUUUGAUAAAAUCAUACUUCUUGUUCAACACAUAUUUUUAUUUGUAGAUUAUUAUCUACUAUUAAAAUGUUUUUAUCAAAUAUCUAAUUGAUAAAGUUAAGAAUAAUUUAUGGAAAAGUUUCUCAAAAUAAAAAUUAAUUUAAGUUAUAAAAUGAACUAAAUAAGUCAGGUUCAAACAUUAGAUUUUUUUUUAAAAAAAAUGCUAAGUUCAAUCGUUUAGUUAGGCUCAUUUAAAUAAUUGAGUUAAAUUUUAAUCAUCCAUUUUUUCACAAACCAAAUCUAAAUUUUAAUUCUUGACUUAGCUCAACUCGUUUACUUUCUUAGUUGAUCCAUUAGAUGGAACCAAAUUGAUCUGAUUUUUCUCUCUUAAUUAUAUUUAAAUUUUAUAAAAAAAAAAAUAUAAUAGUAGUGAAUCAAAUAGAUAUAGUAGUCUUUAGGCCUGUAUUACAAAGGCCCGACCCGUCUAACCCUCCUUUAGUCGGGUCAAUUAAAACCUAGUAUGUUUCAAGCCUAAUAUUUGACAACUCUACACAAGUGACAUGAAUAACUUUUCUCACCUUUGUUCCUUAAGUCCUUUUUAUUUUAUUUUUUAAAAAAAACUUGAUCAAUUAUGUAAAAAAAAUAAAAUUAAAUAAUCGAUGGCAAUAAUACAAAUCAUAAAAAAUUUCUACGUACUCUAUUUUAAAGUUAAAAAAGAAUUGCUUGUUUUAUCAAUAUAAUAAGUUCGUAUCUUUUUUUAUCUUCUCCGCUAGAUAACAUAUCAAAGUUCAGAAUAAUAUUAACUCCCCACAUUUAGGUCGCCUUCAUAAUAACAAAACUUUUUAAUAAGUUUUUUUCGUCUUCUUUUUACUUCCUUUUGAAAAUGUAAUCAACUAGUUUUUUAGCCAUCUUAUAUGGACGUAUAUCAAAAGGUGCAUCUUAGUUGGUUGAGCAAGACUAAUGAAUGUUGUAAAUCAUGUGUGGUAGUAUGUUUAAUUUCUAUGGAUCAUAAAAAAUAUUAAAAAGAUAAGACUAAAAUACAAGUCCUUUUAAUUUUUAUUUGUGACAUUUUAUCUUUCACUUUUAAAAAAUUUGUAAUUUUAGUUUUUUUUAUUUUUUAAUUGAGAUAUUUUAUCUCCUACUUUUAAAAUAUUUGUAAUUUUAGUCUCCUUAGUUAAUUUCAAACUUAUUGACAAUUUCUAUGAAUGAUUAAUGUAUUUAAUAACAACAAAAUAGUUUAAAAUUUAAUUGUUAAAUUAUUUAAUUAUUAUACAAUAUUGGGUCUUGCUAACAAAUACUCUUAGAACAUUGGUUAAGAAAAAAAAAAUUCUUGUGUAAAUUAUGAAAGAACAUAAAAAAAAUAUCAUGAACAAUACAAUUUUUUAUCUCUCAAUAAAAAUAUUUCUAUUUUAAAUUCCUUCAUUAAUAUCCUUAAUUAGGACACUGGUCAGCAUAUGCUACAAUAUUUAAUAUUAAAUUAUUUGUUUCACAAGAUAAGAUAAAAAUGAGUAUAAAACUUUUGUCUCAUAUUAUAUAAUUAUAUUGUUGAGUAUAAUGAAGUAAAAAAAAUUAAAAUAUUUAACUAAUAUAUGGAUUUUUUUUUUAAAAGUUACAGGUUCUAUAUGAGUACGUAAUUUUUUAUUCUUCACAUUAUGGUUGUUUAAUAGAGAUAUUAUAUAUGUCAAAAUAAGAAAACAAAAUUGAACCGUGAAAAUAUAUACUUUAAAUCUUAAAAUAUCAGAGAUUUAAUAGAGGAAAUAAAUUUUCUUUUGUAGGUAAUUAUGAUGUGUUUCUACUUAUUAUAUUAUAAUAAUAAAAAGAAAAUAUUAUUCUUUUCUGUGACAACCGAUGCAAUUUUAAUUAGCUCAAUAGAUUAUAUAAAUUAUCAAAACUCUCACCACUAAACUGACCAAGUGCGUAGGAAGUAUUGUUAUUUGCACACCAAUAAAUGCAUGUCAUUUUAUAGAAAAAAUAGAAAAUAAGAGAAAAAAAUUAAAAGUAAUUCCUUUGCCUAUAAAAAAAUGUCUAAUGAGUGUGAAAUUGGAAUAUAAAAAUCAGUUUUGCAUUAUAUAUUUCACUUUUUUAAUAUUAGAGUUAAAAAAUUAAUCUGUAUUCAAAACGUCAUAAACACUGAAGAGAGCUAAGUCAUUUAAGUAGUCUAUUGAGUAUCUCAUACUUCAUGUGAAACUUAGGCAUCCCGUAAUAUCAAACUCUUCAUCAUAUAUAACAUCACUCUUAUGAGUUAAUAUCCUGAUAGCUAACACUACGACGCUUUACUCGAUCGGUCUGAUUAAUUAACCUUAUUGUAGGUAAUCAUUUCCAAGAAACCAACAAUAAAAUUUGAUACUAAUCGAUAAGCAUCCAAACAUCUGGUGAACUCUUCCUUAAAAUUAAGCUAGGAAUCAAGGAGGAGAACUAACCCAUUUAAGUGCUUCAUCAAACAUUCCACAAAACUCAACGUGAGACUUAAAGAUGGGCAUAAUACCUAGAUCCAUGUUAAAAUAUUUGAAAAGUAAGUAGAAUGACUUAUUUUCAUUUAACUAAUAAAAAAUAAUUUUAAAAUAUAUAAAAACUAAUUAAAAAAAAUAUAUAAAAUAAUUUUAAAAUCAUUCUUGAAAAUAAUUUUUGUCAAUUGAAAACUUUUUUUUAAAUCAGUUCAAUUUUUAUCAAUAAAUAUUAAUAGUAUUUAUUAGAAUAUUCGAAGCUAUUAUUAUCUCUGGUCACUCCUCCCUUCAAUCGUUGAAACUCUCUUCCAAACCAUCGUAUUAACUUUAAAUCUCUUUUAAAUUAGUUCUAUAAAUAUACUAAGAGUGUUUGGAUAAGAAUUUCAAAUACUUCAAUUGGAAUUUUUUUAUUUUUAAAAUUUUGUAUUUGGAUAAAAAAAAUUAAAAUUGUCAGGAUGAAAGAAAAUGGAAUGCAAAGAGAAGAGAAUAUAUGGUUGGUGUGCUUCUAAAAAUAAGAAUACUGAUACGGCAUGGGAAGUCGUAGGGGAAUCGGGAUACGGCGACAUACAUCACCUCACCCGACCACAACAUUCCGUCAGCGAUCCAAGGAAUGAUCGAGAUCCUCCGCGCCGGCAAGCACCUCCGUCACGUGAUGGAUAGCGACAACUGCUCCCAUGACUGGCAGGUGCAAUUCUAUGUGUCCCCCUACGCCCGCACCCGAUCGACGCUCGCAAGUUCAGACGGCGUUUCUUGAAGAAGAUGAUCAUCGACGUGAGGGAAGAGUCACGAGUUUGAGAACAAGAUUUUGGAAACUUUUAGGUUGAAGAAGAGAGAAGGAAGGUUAUAAAAGAAAUACAUAAAUAUUUUGAAAAGCUUUUCUAUCAAUAAGAGAAUUUCAAUUUAUCACAUUUUAAAAGAAAAUUAAAAUUUCACAUUUUUAGUUGUUUAAAAUUCCAAAAAUUUAAAUUCUUCAUAAGAAAAACAUUUAAACAAUAAAUUUUAGAUUAAAAAAAUUUAAAUUCUCUAAUAAAUUACUUUUCUCGAUUAAAAUUUUGUAUCCAAACGCACUUUAAGUGCAAAUUUAAUUGUAAAACAAAAUAAUUGAGCCAAGCACAUGUAACUAUUGUUGGAAUGCAUUUUUGUGGCCUAAAAAACGUGAAUUUUGUGUCAACCAAAUAGGAUAUGCUUGAUUCAUAGUAAAAUAGCUCGACUUUAAAUUUAAAAUAUUUUUUUAUACAAAAAUUCCUUUGAAUUUUAUUUCUUUUUUUUUUCAUUUUCAUAAAAUGAGGGUGGGAAGUGGACAAAGGUGGUGUCAGAAAUUAAAGUUUCAUCUUUCUCUUAAGAGAAAGAAAAGGUUAAAAAGGAUAAACUUGUAGGGGCAUUUGGGUCAAUUCAAAAGGAACUGUCAUUCAAGGCUACAGGGUCAAGAAACAGAAUCAUGUUAUUCCCUCAUUUUUACCCCUUCAAACUUUUUCCUGUCUCCAUCGAAACCUACUGUCCAACCUUUCUUUCCUAUUUCCUCCAAAGCCCUAGUCCCCUCCCUUCCUCUCUUUCUCUCUCCUUCCUAACAUACAGCACUGCACAAACACAAGGAAGAAUAUUAAUACGACCAUUAACAAGCGACGAUGAAAAUUUGAGUUUGCUCCACCUUUUUAAGGAAAAAACCCAAUCCCUUAUCAAUCUCGGAAAUCAAAGCUACUAAAAAAAACACCAACAGUUACCCUUGUGAGAGAUUUCUAGUAUUGCUCAACAAAUACUCACAACUUUGCUGAAUAGAGCAAACGACGAACUGGCCACUCACUCUCCCAUCAAUCUCAUCACAUUCUCAACAUCAAUAAAAUCUUCUUUUGCUUCACCAUUUCCAGGUACAGUACAUGUGUGUUCCAAUAUUUCUAUCUCCAAUAAAAUUAAAAUAAAAAAGAUAAAAAGCCAUCAAGUCUCCAAGACAAAUCAACAAUUAAUCAGACUUUGUUUCCUUUCCUUCUUUUUUUUUUUAAAAAAAAAAUUAUUUUUUCCCUUUAAGGUUGUUGUUUUCAUUUACAGUAACUUCUAAAAGCAAAAAAAAACAUUAAAAAAAAUUAUUCAAACAAUAGGACAUUUCCUCAACUGUUAUCCAAACUAUAAGUAUAGUAAUUCUUUAUCUCAAUUAACCUUCAUCUCUCUCACACACUCCUCUCACCAGCUCUGGUCACUGUCUUAGGAACCCUAGAACAGCAACCCAGAUAAACUAUUCCAAGACACACAACACACAGAAAGAGAGAAUCAAAACAAUUAAGCCUUGGAUCUGCAUAGCAAAGCAAAGAACAAGGGCCAUGGAUUCAAAUAUUCAAGACUUUAUAGACACAUGUAACUCCGACAACACCUGCAACCUCAUCACAAAUAGCAUCACCACCGCCAACUUAACAGCUAGUGCUGCCUCUUCCUCUCCUGCUUCCACCUCCAUCACCAGCAGCAGCCGCUACGAGAACCAGAAGCGCCGUGACUGGAACACCUUCGGUCAAUACCUCAAGAACCACCGUCCCCCUCUCUCCCUCUCCAGGUGCAGCGGUGCACACGUCCUUGAAUUUCUAAGGUACACACACACCCUCUUAAUUAGUCUUGCACACCAUGCACCUCUUCUCUCUCUAUAUAUUUUUUAUAAAACCCACAUGUAUCUUUUAUCAGAACCACCAGAUAAUAUCUGGAUGACAGAGCUCUCCUUCUGAUACUUGGAAAGAGAGCCUGUUGUCACUAUCUAUCUGACUCUCGAGUAAAAUUAUUUUCUUUUCAACAUACAUACAUUGGGUCUUUGUUAUGUAUGUAUGAAUUUUUUUUUGUUGUUAUUGUUAUGUGUGUGUAUAGGUACCUGGAUCAAUUUGGGAAGACCAAAGUGCACACACCGAUCUGCCCUUUUUACGGGCACCCGAACCCUCCGGCGCCAUGUCCAUGUCCUCUUAGGCAAGCUUGGGGGAGCCUUGACGCACUCAUAGGGCGUUUGCGUGCAGCUUUUGAGGAAAAUGGAGGGAAGCCAGAGGCAAACCCUUUUGGAGCCCGAGCUGUGAGACUCUACCUUCGUGAGGUUCGUGAUCUGCAGUCCAAAGCCAGAGGAAUUAGCUAUGAGAAGAAGAAAAGAAAGCGUCCACCACCUCAGCAACAACCCAUGCCAAUACCUCAUCACCCUCUUCCUCCUCCAGGUGCAAGUGCAACUCAUUAGAGGAAUUCAAUUCUCACACUCCAUGCCAAAUUCUACCACCUUCCUCUCUCACUCAAUCUUUUUCCUUUGUGUCCAAACUCAAAAAACCUUCAUCUCCAAGUGGGAUCUCUUCUUUUAAUCCCAAUAUGCUUUUAGAGUUAUGAUCUAGCUAAUUUAGUAUCAUGAUAUUUAGGGUUUUUUUAUUUUAUUUUUCUUUGUUAAUUUUUUUAAGUUGGUGAAAGCUGCUAUAUCUCUGGUCCAUAUAGACUGUUUGUCUUUGGAUCCUGUUUGGUCAGGGAGAAGCAAAAGUCUAAAAUUAAAUUCUGGGAUAUAUCAUGCAUCUCUCUGCUUUAAAAGCAGACAGUGCGGUACUGGUAGUAGACUGAUAGUGCGUGGGAAGUACUGAAAAGUGGAAGUGAGACUGUGAGAGAGUGAAUGGAUAUACAUGGAAGCCAUGAUCCUUGUGAUGAGGAAACCAAAAGUAUGGUAUUAUCAUUCAUAGUUCUAUAUAAUAUAUGUACUUUUCCUUUUCUCUAUGUCAAGCUUAGACUUGUUGGGGAUUAAUUAUGUGCCUUACCUUAAUUUAUAUAUAUAUUAUUUUAAUUUUCUGAUUUAAAAGGGUGUUGAAUUUUAUUAUAAUUGCUUGCAAAUUCGAACUUGAUAACUAUAGGUAACAAGUCACUUCCGUACAUGGUGAUGUUGGAUAACAUCUUCGAAUAUUGAUUAUCAUUAUUAUUUUCUUAUACCUAUAAAUGAUUAGUACUCUUUCUUAGCUUCUUUUUUUCCUCGUAGUUGCCACUUAUGUGCUUUACUGUCUCCCCCAAACCCAAAUGUAUUUUGUGUGAAAAACAAUGAUAGUGCUUCUAAAGCUUAAUCAUAGCAACUUCUGUAUGUUUCAAACUGACAAGUUUUAUUCUCUCUCAAAUUCGACUAACGGCUGACUGUUAAGUAAAUCAUUUUGAUUGGUGAUUCUGAUUCAUAUUAUAAAUGCUGUAGUGCUGUCAUUUCAAAUGAAGUGAAAUUAUAAAAGCCAACGAAAAUUAAUGGCAGACGAUGUAAUUAAUUCCUAUAUAUGUGACCAAACCUUUUGUUCAAAAAAAUGACCAAACCUUUAUUAUUAAUUAGCUUAAUAUAUUGUUUAAUUAUGAUCCUAGACCUUAUAUAUGCUUUUCUUCUAUACUACCUUAUACGGACAUAUAUGCCGACUAACAAUUAAUCAAAAUCUCCUUGUAGAUCAUGAUGCAUAUCAUUAAUUCACAAGUUUUCAUUUGAAUUAGGUCAUGUCUGCCAAAUGGUUGGUGCCGAUAUAAAAAAUGUUUGUCAAAUGUCGAAAUGAGAGCUAUAGGCUCUUUAAUCUGCACUCGCUUGAAAAGAUAAUAUGAUAUGGUGGCAAGGUAUUUUUUCACCAUAGUAGGAAGUAGCACAGAAAGCCAAAUUAUGCAAACUUGUCUUAAGAGUAAAGAGACUACAAAUAGGUCAGCAAAAAAGAAAAGCAAAAAGUUACUUUGGUAAUUUAUAUAUUUUGAAAAUAAUUAUUUUUUUUGACGAGAAAUUAUUUUUUUAUAUACAAAAAUGAAAAAAAGAAAUUAGAUGAGGAGAAUAAUUGAGAAAUCUGCAUAAUAAGCUUAUAAAUUAGUUUAUUCUAUAUCCAACCUUCAAUACUUUUUUAAUUGUUGAAAUAACUAUAAAAAAUUUCUACAACUUAUUCAAAUUAAACCAGAUGUUCUAAAAGAGUCAGUAAGAAAUUCUCAGAAUCAAUUUGGCCGACAAAUCUGUCUGUAAAAAUUUUGGGUCAUCCAUUCCUUUUGUAUUAUGUUAUUAUUAUGGCUCAAAAAGAAGAAAUUUCCCAAUCCCUCUGAUCAUGAAGAGGCGCCUAUUGUACCUCCAUUUGCUAAAGCGAAACCCAAUAAGACAUUGGAUAUAUGCUGGAAAGAUAAGCUAAGCUUCUUAUUUUCCCUUUUGAAGUGAUUCUAGUGGGGCAUAUAUGAGACUACCACUUCAAGACAUAGAGGAUCUAUUCUUUCCUCUAAUGAUUUAGGUAUAAAUUUCAUAAGUACUUUAGGCUGUAUAUGAGGGUCAUACGAUUAGAGCACUAUAUAGCCUUAUGAUGCCAUUUUUAAAAUAAUCAGUGGUUAAUGCAGUUAACAUCGUACUAAAUUAAGAAGUAGGCAUUUGAUAUUUUUAUUUUUAUUUUUUGUGGUGUAAAGGAUUUUGAAUGUCAAAAUAUUUUUAUGAUAUAAUACAAAAGUAUAAUGAAAAAUAUGAUUUUAAUAUUUCCCAAUUAGUAAAUCAUUAAUUUUUAAUCUAGAUCACAUGUAUUUUUUAACGGAGAUAACUUAAGUAAAAAAUGAUUAUUAUGGAUAAGAAUUUUAUUUCUUCUAAAUUUUUAAAAUAGAUGCAUACUAAAGUACGUCAUCUUAUUCUAAUUUUUAAUAAUAAAAAAAUGGAGAAGAUGAACUAUUGUGUAAUGGUGGAAGUUUUUGUUGCAUUCACUUAUGAUGGCAAUAGAAUCCAUGUUCAAUGUUCAAUUCACUAUUCGUGAAAAAAAAAUGGACCAAUGACAAUUAAGUAUCAUGGAUGAAAUUAGUUUUAGUGGAUUAAAAAAAUUAUCAUGAUUUUUGACCUAAGACAAAAGUAAAAUAUAAAGUAUUUAUCGAUUCUAUCAAUAAUUAAUAUUGGUUGAAAAAAUUGACCAAAAACUUUCAAAAAAUAUUCUUUUAGUUAUGUUUGUUCAUUCACAAAAAUUCGAAUAUGAAACCUUAUUUAUAAAUUGUCUAUUUAAGAUUGUAAGAAAUCAACCUACCCAAAUAACUAAAACAGAUGGGAAAAUACUAAUUAAGGAAUUAAAUUUGGGAACAUGUAAUUUUUGAGCAAAUAUUUAAAAAUUUAAUAUUCUAAUAAUUUAAAAUAUAAUUAUUAGUAAAUUACAUUAUUGCUCCAUUCAUAUUAAAAAAAUAUUUUUUAAAUAAGAAUACGAAUCUUCAUUUAUUGAGUUCAAAUAAUAAUUUUAAGGAAUUUUUAAUUCAAAUAAUAAUAAUAAUAAUAAUAAUAAUAAUAAUAAUAAUAAUUUACUGAUCAUUUCUAUAUUUUUUUUAGUCAUGCCUAUGAAUAUUCUAAAAGUAUUAGUUAAAGAAUUAUCAAUAGAAUAAAUUUUUUAUUAAAAAUAUAAUAGAGAUGUAUUGAUGACAUUAAAUAUUAUAAUUUUCAUAAAAAUCAUUUUUAAUCCUUUAAUUAAUGUGAAGAAAUGUCUAAUUUAAUUAGCAUGAAUUUGACAAUAUAUUUGAGUUAUCUUUUAAUUUUUUUUAACGAACUGACAAAAUUGUUUGAUGGUUUGAUAAAUAUUGUUUGACGGUUUGAUAAAUAUUUUUUUGAUAGAUUUUAGUAUUUUUUUGAAAUAUUAUUUGAAGUAACAUAAAACAUACUUCUAACUUUUAGUUUUUUAGUUUUUUUAUAUUUAUUUUCUUUUUAUCCUUGAAUAGUUAUUACAUUUUCCUUUUAAUUUCUUCUAUUUAAGAUAAUUUUUUUUUUUUACAUAUGAUAGGAUUUUCUCAUUUUUAUAUUUUUAUUAUAUAUGAUAUUGAUAGUGAUAUAUAACGAGUUUAUGUAGUUUUUUUUAUUUGGAUAUUAUAUAAAUAAAAAGCUACAAUUGCUUAAAAUUAAUUUAAUACUAAAACUAUAAAUACUACAAAAUAUAUAUUUAUCAAGAAAAUUAAAUUAAAAUUUGUAUAAAAAUAAUACAUAAAUAUAUUCAUUUAUAUAAUUUUAUAUUUUUCAGUCAUUUUAAUAAAUAAUUUUUUCAAAUAUAUGAUUUAAUAAAUAAUUUUUUUAACUUUCAACCAUCAAUUAAUUUUUAACUUCCCUCUAAUUUUUCAGCUUUAAAUUAAAUUUUCAAUUAAUUUUCAUCAUAGCCUUAAUUUAUAAUACUAAACUUAUACUAACUUUCUAACCUUAAUCACCACAGCUAUAAAAUUGAAAGGUUCAUUACUUUUUAAAUAAAAUAAAUUUCGUUGUCAUCAAAAGAGUUACAAUGACCCAACCAACUGCUAUCCACAACUUUUGCCAUAAAAAAUUGUCUUUUUCUUUUAUUUUCAGAACACAGCCCACGUUGUUAUAGAUAUGUUCUAAAAUACUUACAGGAAAAACUGCAUAAUAUCCUAACUAAGCAUAAAAAAUAGACCAAAUACUAUGCAAUUCUACCGUUUAGCAACAAGACUGAUUAUAAAGAGAUGAGAUCCUAUUCCCUUUGAUUAAGUUCUGCCGGAUAAGAAUUUUCUCCCAAAAAAAUGUCCCAUGCAAAUGCAAUUAACUAUUAAGUGUGUAGAGUGGUAUGUAUUUAUAUAUGUGGGCGCGUGCACAAAUGAUGUGGGUGUUUAAAAAAUCAUUACAUCUUUGAAAAGGAGAUAGGAGAUUAAUUAAAAGGGUAUAAAAAAAUAUGAAAAUAUAGAUAUAUGUAAUUUUUAUUAGCAUAUGGAAAAAUGUGCAGCAUAACUGUCUAGUUAUAGAUAACUUAUGUUUAUAUAUAUAUAUAUAUAUAUACACUUCCAUGGAAUUUAAGUUUUUAUAAGAAAAAUUAAAUGAGUGAUAGACGACAAUAUUAAAAUCCGUUGGUGGAAAGGUUUUAUGGGCAAAAUUGUACAUGCACAUGUACAUAAUUAGCAGCACCUAAUUCAAUUUAGUUUGAUUUGAUUGUAGUUAUCAUUGAUCAUUGAUAUCAUAUUAUUUCUUUAGAGAGAAUUGAUAUCAUAUUCUUAUUGACCUUUACAUAAAAAAAUUAUUCUUAUUGCACGACAUAAAAUUUUCAAGGAACCUACCUUUUCACGCAAUAAAUGUACAAUUAAACCCUACGAAUCUUUUUGAAUGACAUGGGUUUUGUAACUAUGAACAUGAUCUUAACUUAAGCUUUGUUAUUCAUAAAUCGUUAAUGAAAUCUUUGACCACAAUCAGAGAAGAGAUUGGUACGUAUUUCCCUCUUACCAAUCAAUGACAUGGGGUUUGUCAGUAUGCUAAAAACAGGUAGUGUUGUGUGCUCUACGCUGAUUAAAAAAAAAAGUGUUGUGUGGCCAUGAAAGAAUAAUUGCGUAGAAUCAGUACACAUAUAUGAUCAUUUGAAUGGAAGUCACUGAUAAAGUGAAUUGCACGUAUGUUCAAUCGGAACUGUACGUAAGAACCCAUUUUUUUCUAACAAAAUGGGGCGUUGCCGGUAGAUAAUAUCUUAAUUACUUGGCCACUUUCUCUAAAAAAUAGUGUACAGUUGCACAGUUGGUUUUUGUUUUUCGGCAUAUAAUGUGAAUUUAAUCAAUCAAACUACUGUAAAGUUUGUGAUUCUAUAUCAUUUUAUUAUUAUUAUUAUAAUUAUUAUUAUCAUUGGUGCUUACUUGUCACUCAAUUAUUAGUAUUUUUUUCAGAUAUAUAUGUCAUCUUUUUAUCAAGUAAUUGAACAGGGAAAGGACGGGUAAAAACAUAUAUUAAUUUUUAUCACCUAAUUUAUUGAUCACGAUUACCUCUACAAAGCCUAUGCGUGUGCAUUGCGUAAAUUCAGAAACCUCGCUGCUCAUUCAUCCAUUUACUUAUCGUCCUAUAUAUCUUCUAGAUCUACAUCUUGUAGAACUAAUAAAACUCAAGUCCCCAACCAAAUUUGUGACUACCUGCAACACUAAUUUACAACAAGGUCUUGUUAAUUUGAGACACCAUUGCCGGAUUCUAUAGUGAGAUCAAGCUACAAUGGUGAGUAGUAAUUAAUAUUAAUUUCCUACAAACUGCAAAAAAAUCAAAUGUCAAACCAAUCGAAAUAAACCUGAAAAAUUUAGAGCUAUUGUUUACUCGCGGAGUUGAGUUUAAAGAGGUGAAGAGUGGACAGAAAGAUUGGUCCUCUUUGUCAUAAAUAAGCUACAUCAUCUACAUGCAGCUAGAAGGUAGAAGGUGGCCAUAUUGCUGCACAACUCUGAAACCACGGUACGUGAGAACCGUUUUUAAUUUAUCUAACGCUAACAGAAGUAAAAAUUAAAAUUAAAAAUGGCUUUUUUUACCAACAGGGUGCAAUUUUUUUUUUUUUGGCUUCUUUUCAAAUGGGGACAGUUUUUACAUUAUUUCCCAAAGAAGGUAAAUUGAUGUAAUGAUGUAACACCUGUUUAUACUUUACUUUCUUUUAACUAAAGUUAUAAAUAAUUUUAUGAUUUUAGUGUAAUUUUCUUUUUUACAAUUUUAAAGUUGUAAGUUUUUUUUUUAUGACUUUAAAGUCGUAAGAUUUUUUUUAAAAAUGAAUUAUGACUUUAAAGUUGUAAUUCUUUUUUUUUAUGUUAUUUUUUUGUUUAUAUUUUAUUUUCUUUUUAAUUUUCUAAAAAUUGUAAAAAAAAUUAUUUAAUUAAUUAUUAAAUACAUAUUUAUAAUUAUAUUUGUUAUUAGUUUUAUUUAAUAUGUUAUUUAUUUUUUAUGGUUUUAUUUAAUAUGCUAUUUAUUUUUUUAAUGUUAUUUAUUUAAAAUAUAUUAUAUUUUUUUACUUAAUAUAUUUUGUAUAUUUAAAAUUUAGAUAAUCUUUUAAUAAUGUUAUUGAAAUUUAUCUUUUUAAAUGAAAUAUAAAAGUAACUUAAUGACAUUUUAUUUUUUUUAAUAUUUAUUUUAUUUUAAAUACUUAAAUUUUAAAAAGUAAAAUUUGAAACCAAAUAUUAAAAAAAAAUUAUUACUAAUAUUAAGUUAUAAUUUAUGAUGCUGAAUUAUUUAUUUUGUGUAAAAGAAUUUACUAUUAACAACAUGUAAUAAUUUAAUAAUAGAAGUAGUUGUUAAAUUAAAAACAACAUAAUACAUUAAUAUAAAAUGAACAAUACAGAUUAAAGAGAAAUAUAAAAAAUAGAAACUAUAUUGUUCAUUUUGUAGGAGUGAAUGACAUAAUCGUAGUAACUGUUUAUACAAAUAAGUAGAUAACUAAUAUAAUUUUUACUUUUUAUGUUUCUCUUUUAAGUUGUAUUGUUCAUUUUAUAUUAAUGUAUUAUGUUGUUUUUAACUUAACAACUACUCUUAUUACUAAAUUAUUACAUAUUGUUAAUAGUAAAUUCCUAUUUACACAAAAUAAAUAUUUCAACAUCAUAAAUUAUAACUUAAUAUUAGUAAUAAAUUUUUUAAUAUUUGGUUUCAAAUUUUAGUUUUUAAAAUAAAAAAAUUCAAAAAAAUAUAUUAAAUGUCAUUAAGUUACUUUUAUAUUUCAUUUAAAAUAAAUAAAUUUCAAUAAAAUUAUUAAAAUAUUAUCUAAAUUUUAAAUAUACAAAAUAUAUUAAAUAAAACAAUAUUAAAAAGAUAUAUUAUAUUUUAAAUAAAAAAAUUUAAAAAACAUAUAACAUGUUAAAUAAAACCAUAAAAAAUAAACAACAUAUUAAAUAAAACUAAUAACAAGUAAAACUAUAAAUAUUUAUUUAAUAAUUAAAUAAAUAAAAUUGUUUACAAUUUUUAAAAAAUUGAAAACAAAACAAAAUAUAAACAAAAAAAAUAACGUGAAAAAAAAGAAUUACAACUUUGAAGUCGUAAUCCACUAAAAGAAAUCUUACUACUUCCAAGUCGUAAAAAAAAAAAACUUAUGACUUUGAAGUUGUAAAAAAAAAGUUAUACUGAAGUCAUAAAAUUAUACAUGACUCAAGUUAAAAAAAUUAAAGUUGUAAUAGGUGUUAUAACACGAAUGAAUCUGGGUUUUUUAACUACGGGUCUAGCAAACGAAAAAUUGAAAUAGAACCCAAUCCAAUAAGAUCUCCCCCUCUCAAGAUCGGGCGUGAAGGUUUCCUUUC
rnacentral:lncRNA from 1 species